rnacentral:lncRNA from 1 species
UUGAUAAUGGAAAGGAGAUAGCAGUGAAAAGACUAGCCAAGAAUUCUGGCCAAGGAAUUGGAGAGUUUAAGAAUGAAGUUCUGCUGCUUUCAAAGCUCCAACACAGGAACCUUGUGAGGAUCAUGGGUUGCUGCGUUCAAGAUGAAGAGAAGAUGUUGAUCUAUGAAUACUUGCCAAACAAAAGUCUUGACUUUUUCAUUUUCGGUAUGUCUUUCUUUUACUUUUGUUAUUCUUUUUAUACAAGCAAUAUUGUGGAGGGGAAAUCAAGCUCAGGACCUCAGGUGUAGGAUUGAAUGCUCUUAACUCAACUUAGUUACAAGCACUUUUCUUUUCCCUUGUGUAUCUAAAAUUGUCGGUUAGAAACCUUGAACCAAGCAAGAAUACAAUCUAAUUUACUUUGCUUAUUUUGUUCCCAUAUGAAGCAAAAGGGGAGUUCUUGGAUUGGACAAGAUGCUUUGAGAUAAUCUGUGGGAUUGCUAGAGGGAUCUUAUAUCUUCAUCAGGAUUCAAGAUUAAGAAUCAUCCAUAGAGAUCUAAAGGCCAGCAAUGUUCUGUUGGAUUCUGCUAUGAACCCCAAGAUUUCAGAUUUUGGUAUGGCUAGGAUAUUUGGAGCUGAACAAAUUGAAGCAAAUACAAACCGUGUGGUUGGGACAUAGUAAGUUUCAUUCAAAACUGAAAGUACACCUGUUUUUUUUUUUAAGUUUCAUCCCUACGAGUUAUACAAUUAACUUUUGUUGAAUAAUACAGAAAGAAGCUGUGAUAAUUAAUCAAUUUUAUUUUGUUGUUUCAGCGGUUAUAUGUCACCAGAGUACGCAAUGGAAGGACUUUUUUCAGUAAAGUCUGACGUAUAUAGCUUCGGUGUUUUACUACUAGAAAUUGUUACUGGCAGAAAGAACAUCGGCUACCACCACGAUAGUCCUUACUCAAAUUUAGUUGGACAUGUAAGCAUAACAUUAAAACAUUACCAAACUUCUCUCCAUCUGCUUUUAUAACUUGAUGAUUAAUUUGUAAAUGGUUUUUAGGUUUGGGACUUGUGGAAGGAAAAUAGAGCCUUGGAAAUCAUUGAUUCAUCUUUAGGAGAAUCAUACCCUGUCAACAAAGUUCUAAGAUGUAUUCACAUUGCCCUCUUGUGCGUGCAAGAGCAAGCGAAGGAUCGUCCACUCAUGUCAGCAGUGGUUUCCAUGUUGGGUAAUGAUGCUGCAAUUCCUUCACCAAAGCAACCUGGAUUUUUGUUGAAGAGUGGUUAUCAUAGUAGUGGAGACCCAUCAACCAAUACUGAUGGAGCUUGCUCUGUAAAUGACAUGACCUAUACAGAAGCAGAAGGUCGCUAAGGGGAGAACCAGACGUAUAAUCAGACCGACUUAUAUUAUUCAAUUGAGAAUCACAUGAUGAGUGAGAUAAGAAGAGAGGAUAUACCCCGAUUUCACUCAAUAAUUUUCCUUAUAACUAGGGAUCUAAGUUCUAUAUUAAUAUGCAACACUCAUCAUCUGUCUUAUUGUAAAUACACGUUAUAAAAUAUAUGCCCUAUAAUUGGGGAUCUAAGUUCUAUAGCUGUUAUACUCAUCAUCUGUCUUGUUGUAAAUACAAGCUAUAAAUUAUUUGCAACAUUCAGCAUCAGUCCAACCAAGCUUGUGAAAUCCCGUUCCUGGAUUUCACUGUUAUAAUCUACAUGUUUGUAGUAUUGAGAUUUUAUAUUAUUUUUCAAGAAUUUAUAUUAAUUUAUUUGAAUUUAGAUUUCAAUUAAACUAGUUACGAAGAGUGAAGUUUGGAAAGUUAUUAUAUACUUGUUGACCUUUUGAGGUCAUAAGUAACGUUUUCGAAUAAAGCUUGAUCCCACGAAUGCAUAGGCGAAAGGCGUUUGCAAGUCUGGAUUAUAACGGUAUAGUUAAAGACGUUUGAAGUUGUGAUACUAUAAAUUUUAGGAAUUGAUUAUCUCCCACUUUGUGGGUAAGGGCCCAGAUAGAUAUGGGGUUAAGUGGACCAUCAGAAUUGAAAAAAAAAGGGGGGGGGGGGAAGCAACCAAUCAGGAAAGAGGAGGAAAGAAAUGAGAAAGAAAAAGGAAAAAGGAAGGAGGGGAAAAUGCCCCUUUCCCGUCGACCCACCCAACUAGGUUUGACCCGGUUCUAAUUCCGGCGGUUUCCGCUAUUUUUUCCGUCGAACCACCACCAACCAACAACUGCAACCUCUUCUACAACAUCUCAUCUACCAUUCCCACCCAAAAUCAUAGGAAAUUUAGUUGUAGUUUGGUGAAAAACACACCAUGGGUACCGUGGGAAACCUCGUCAUGAUUCAUCAUUUGUGAAACGAUUUCAUUCAAUUACCACCACCAUUAGACUCUCCUUGAACCCAGGAAUAAAGCCCAAACAACCUUGGAGACGUCGGAGCAAGUAUGGAGUUCGUAUUGAAGCACACCUAAUUCUAGGGUUCUGGAUGUUCGUGGGUGAUUUCAGGAGUUUCCAGGCCAAAUUGGCCUUAGCCAUAGGUAUAAAAAUUACUCCCCUCAUUGAGAUCUACAUGCCUGUAAAAUUUGGUAAUUUUUGGAAUUAGUUGAAUUUUCCGACAAGUCGGGGCGGCCGACUGCCAUGUGCGGCGGCGCAUAGGCCGAAGUAACCCCUGACCUUCCUAGGAUAAAUUUGAUACCCCAAUUCCAUAUGUGAAGUCUGAUUGACGAAAUCUCGUCAUAUGGUUAUAGAUUUGAUGGAGACCGCCACUUAGACAUUAUAUGAAUCGAUGAUUAGAUUGUUGGAUCGUCACCAAAAUUUAAUAUGUUAUAGUAUGUAAUAUUUGAGGAUAACAGGAACUUACGGAUUGGGAAUAGAUGUACGGAUCUUCCCGAAUUGGAUUUACAAGUUUGUAAAAUAAAACGUCGACAACCAUUUAAAUUCGUGAUUGGCGGAGAUCCGACCGUUUGAUCAUAAUGAAAUUUUAGUAUGUUAUUCUAGAAGCAUAAUGUGGACUUUGGGAAGUUAUGGAUCAGAAAUCUAAUGUGCGGAUCUUUAGGAUCGAAUUACGUAGAGUUGUGGACCCUAUCGUUGACAGAGAGUUGAUUUGUGGUCAACAUGUCUCGAAACGUUCUAAAUAAUAAAAUUAGUACUACGAGACUAAUUGAAGUCUAGUGGGCCUAUAUUGGUUAGAUAGUGACUUGAAUAUAUGAGAUAUGAUUAUUAUCUUGAUUUCUUAUGUUGGUAUCAUUUGUGAAUAUGAUUUGGUCUUAUAAAUAUGAUUUCUAUUGAAAUGUGAUUUUUAUAUAUUUAGCCAUAGGCCUAUGCUUAUUACAUAUGAUUUGGCUUGUGUACUGAUGAUGUUUGUGAUAUAUAUGUGUUUAAUUAUCUUUUUAAUAAUAUGAAUGAUAAUUAUGAUGAAUGUUAUGACAAGUAUGGGAUCUAAUUAUUGCUUGAUAAUUAUUUGGAUAUGAUUGCCAACUGAAUACCUAUUUGAACUUGGCAUUACUACCUAGUAUGUGAUAGGGAUGAAAGUCUGGAGAUGAGUUAGGUACUUUAUUAGAUUUUUUUAGUAGAAAUAGUAAUUAGGGGAAUUCCUUAUGAUGUGCUCCAUAUGACUAGAUGCUGGUUGAUAUGUGGAAUCGAUAGCGUGUAUACGUAUAAUUGGGUAUAAUGUAUGAGGCUAGAUAAGCCUUUUGUGUAGAGUAGGAAAAGAUAUGGUGAAAUGGGGUCGCCCUGUUGAAUCCCACGAGAGGGGAGGAGGUAGCCACAAAGACGACUGUUGAUGACAAAAGAGUACGAUACUGAGCAUACGAAUUCCAUCACCAGAUUGGUCUAAUUCAAUGAGAACCCCAUACGAACUAAAAUACUCUUGAGAUAAUCCCACUCAAUUCUGUCAUAUGCUUUGUUAAUGUCCAAUUUUAAGGAUAAAAACUCUUUUUUUCCUCGAUGGCGCUUCAUGAGGGAAUGGGAGAUUUCUGAAGCCAGAAUCAAAUUGUCUGAUAUCAUUCUUCCCGGAACAAAUGCGUUCUGAGCAGGAGAUAUGAUGUGGUUUAGAAUUCCUUUCAACCUAUUUGCCAUAACUUGGAAGCAAUCUUAAACAGGACGUUACAAAAGCUUAUGGGCCUGUAUUGAGAGAUAUCAUUAGGGUCAUUUACUUUGGGGAUGAGGCAAACAUGGGUGAAUUUUUUUUUUUAGUAACCUGUCCGAUUGGAAAAUGCAUUGGAUGGCGUUCGUCACAUUCGCUCCAACAAUGGCCUAAUAUCGUUAGAAGAAAAAAGGGGACAUUCCAUCGAGCCCCAGCACUGUUGAAGGUUGCAUAUUAAAGAUAGCAUCCCGAACCUCUUCAGCAGAUACAUGCAAAUCCAAUCUGAGAUUCAUCUCCGAAGUCACCCGACGAUCGAUGGUUUGGAGCACCUCCUCACCACCCCCCGUCGGACCAGCUUUAAAUAAGUCUUCAAAAUAGUUUAAGAUCGAGGACUCGAUACCCUUUUCAUCAGAAAUCCAAUUGCCAUUGCUACCAUAUAACCCUUUGAUAAGAUUUUUGGACUUGCGGUUUUUAGCCCGUUUGUGAAAGAAGCGAGUGUUCCUAUCGCCUUGGCUGAGCCAUAGAGAUCGAGAUUGUUGGUGCCAGUAAGUUUCUUCUUGACCCAAUAAGACAUCGAGACACUCCAUUGGAAGCUUCCUUUCAGCUAAGGCCGCCUCUGACAGUGGUUAAGCAAGAAUAAAACCAAGUUUCAAACGUAUUUCGUUUAUAUCCUCAAUACGUCCUUUGAAGACCAUAUGUUGCCACUUAAGAAGGGCAAUCCUGGUGGCCUUAAUUUUGUGGACCACUUGGAUGUGUACCCUGGUUACAGGACGACUUAAUGCCUCCUCUAUAACAUUCUCGCAGUUUUCGUGGGAGGCCCAAAACUUCUUGAAUUAGAAUCCAUGUCGACAUUUCCUCCUGGGAACAAGUUUCCCGUCUAUGAAGAGAAUAAUAGGAACAUGAUCAAGUUUUGUGGGAUCCAUAUGGUGAACUUUGGCAUUACAGAAUAAGAAUCUCCAUAGAGGGAAUGCCAAGACCACCCGGUCCAAACGUUCUUUUAUGCCUCCCGACUGCGUGGUGAUCCAGGUGAAUUAGUUUCCAGAGAAACCAAGGUCCAGGAGAUUGCAAUUAGACACCGCCAACCUGAAGUCGAGAAUCUGCUUGAUAGGCCUAGAUGGGCCGCCCUCAUUCUUGUUAGCGCUGAGAAGCUCAUUGAAGUCCCAUCUCAUAAUUCAGGGAGGGAACUAGCUGAUGCUAAAGAGCGAAGGAGGUUCCAGGUGGUUGCCUUUUCGGUUGUAAUCGGGUUGCCAUAAAAGCUAGUAAAUCUCCAGUGUAGAGGGUCGGUGUUGCAUCCAAUCUCUCAAUUGAUGUGAUUAUCAGAAGCAGAGAGAAUCCUUAAGUCAAUGCUGGAGUGCCAUAGCAAAUAGAGGCCUCACGCACUUCCUCGAGACUUGACACAAAAUGACCUGUCAAAACUUAACUUGAAUUUCAGAGACAAAAUACUAUGACGCGAAGAUUUGGUUUCACACAAGAAAACUAGGAUGGGAUCUUGCUACUUGAUGAUGUCUUGCAGUGCCUGAACUUUCCAGGGGUUCCUAAGCCCCCAGCAGUUCCAGAAUAAGAAUUUCAUGGUUUAUGAUGCGGUUGCACCCUGUUAACCGUCGCCAAUGAUGUCGAAGGUAGGUGAAUGUUCCUGCCCAGCUAGCCCCUAUUCUCAGCCUAUUCCAGCUCUUUAGAAGGGCUAAUAGCGAUGUCGCAAAGAUGAUCAGAAUCUAAAACCUCAUCGUCAUGUGCUGACCUGAGACAGGGGGAUUCAGCAUCCAUACGACUACCAGACCUGGAUUUGGAGCUACGAAGGUUCAGAUUUAAGAGAUAGAGGGGACGACCCUUUUUUAAGUUGAGGGAAAGUCGAGGUUUUUUGGUCAAGGGAGAGACCAAAAUUGACUUCACGCUUUUACCGUUGGAUUGCUCAGCCAGAUGAGAUGUAUGCUUGAGCUCAAGAUUGCUGAUGUGUAAUAAGUUGGUGCCAGGUGGAAAACAACCUUGGGCUAAGAACUUAGAGGGGCUGGUUUGAACAUGAUCUGAGGCUCGUAAAAACUCAUCCACAUCUUUUAAGGCCCAUAGAGGAAGCUUGUUGGGGUCACACUAGUUUUUUUUCCAAGGAAAGCCCAUUAACAGCUAUGGACAUGGUGUCGUUAGAGAAAGGGUUCUGUGAUUAAAAUGUGGCUGCCGAUCAGUACUGAUGAUAAGAGGGGACACGUACUUCUUUCUGAUGCAACAAUUGGAUCGUAGGGGGACAACGAGUUAGCAGUCGCAGUGAUGGCAGGUCUGACGGUCAGAGAAUUAUCGGUGUACUCUGCCAGUCUGGAUUGAUCAAGUUUGGCCUGUCUAGCCAGGAAUACGGUAGUCGGAAUGUCUGAAUCUUCGUCCAGCAGGUCGUAGAAACCAUAAUCGUCGAUUUCCCAUUUGCAUCUCCAAUGGUGCUUAUUAGCCCCAUCUCUGCUAAACAGCCUCGAAAUUGGGAAUAGUAGAAAACUCGCCCUAAACAGACUUUCGAUGCAAAAUGAUUGGUUGAAUCGGCUUUCACCAGACGGCAGAAUGGGAGUCGGACGAGGGCAGCCGCUUGAAUGACCUAGGCGACCAUACUUAUAGUAGAAAAUUCUGAAACCUUCAUAGCGUAGCCGAAUAGUAUAUGAACACAGCUUUGGGCAUGACACCGAGAAGCUGGUGAGCAAUGGUUUCGAGGUAUCAAAAUCGACUCGCAUGCGGAGAAAGCCUCUAAACCCCAUUUCCAGAGGAUCCUCAACCUCUAGAAUUUCCCCCAUCUUAAAACCCAGGCAUCUCACAUUCUUCAAGGUGCAUUAGUUCCUAGGGAUACCGUGCUCCUAGAUCCCAAUAAAUGGCCCUGUUAGGGAUUAUAUCAUCGAGAAAGUGAAAUGACGGCCAUAGUUUCACUGAGAAGGUAUAGUCCCUGAUGAACCAGGGAUUUCCUUCCAAAAGCCUCAUGGCGACAGCUUCUUCCCCAACUGUGAUAACAUACAAGUUUGCUUUUGCACAAAGAACGCGAAUAACCGCCAUCUUGUUCCAAGUAGAGCGAAUAACCUCCUUCACCACAGUCUGGGAAAAUUCAUGGUCAACGAUGAGUGCACAACGAUGAGUCUGCGAAUAACAUACAAGUGCCUUCGCCCAUGAGCGGUAGGUCUCGGGUUCGAGACUUGGGAGCAGCCUCUCCAUAAAUGGGGGUAAGGCUAGCCGACAUUCACCUCUCCCAGACCCUGCGUAAAGCAUUCUUACUAAAAUCACACUCAGUUAUUUUAAAUACUUCUAAACAAGCCCUAAAACACACCAAAAAAUAAAAACAAAACUGCAUAAUAAGAUGAGCAUUUCGGUUAACACGUACACCAAACAAUUGUAUUCAAAUGGCGGCACAUUUCCAGUACUAACAUAAUUUAGUCUAUCCACUUUGGUAACGUAAAGAAGAGGUAAACCAUGAAUUUAAACUUGGAGGCAGAUUGUCUGCCCUUUCUUUCCCAUGCCCUUCUCAUCCCUUUCUAUUUGUGCGGUCAUGGUUAAGCCACGUCAACAUUUUAUAUUCAUAUUGCUUUUUGUUUUAUUAUCUCUAUUAAAAAAUUAAUAUAAAAUAUUGACGUGGCUUAACCGUGAUCCUACAAAUAGAAGAAGAUGAGAAGGAUAUGGGAAAAAAAUGGCAGACAAUCUGCUCUUUUAAACUUUGGUACUUUGGCAGAAGAAAGCAAAAGAGUUAAAUAAAUUAUUGAACCAUGAAGGAGGUUGAGAUUUGUUUUUAUCUACACGAGCAAUUGAAAAGUCAAAAAGCAUGAGCUAACAAAAAUGGGUCGUCAUCACCAAGUUAGUUGGGUGACUUUUUCUUAUUAAUUUUGGAAGAUGGUACUAAAUUCAUAUUUUCUAUCUUGUUGAUCAAAAGGAAAAACUUAUAUGCCUCGGUUGAAAGUACAUUUAAAAUUGUUGAAAACAUUUUUAGUAAAAAUAUUUUUAAAAUCAAUUUUUUGUAAGAAAAAUUUCAAAUAAUUUUAGGCCCAAAAGUAUUUUUUUUACAAGUGUUUUCUAUUAUUUCAAAAAUACUUCCAAACGAGCUCAUAGUUAAUUAUAAACAUAAAUAGUUUUUUAAAAUAAUGUAUGAUCAUUAUCAUCUAUUCAUACAAAACACACAGAGUAAGGUAGCCAACCAAGAUAUACACAGUUGAAUGAUCCAUUUCUUGUGGGAAAGAAUCAUUUUCACACCAUUCUUAGUUCCAUGGUUCGAUUUCAGUCGUUACUCUUUGAUGGAUAUUUACAUAUACAAUCAAACUAUUUAGACACAAAAUUAAUUUACUUGAUAAGAUACUCUCUUAAAUAAGACAUGUAAUGUGUCCAAUUCUUGAUCAAAAUUAGGCUUUUAAUAUUCAAAGGCCGAGUGGCGUCACAAGAUUUAAUUAUGCAUGCAUGUCAUUUUCCUCAUGAAUUUUUCUUUUAACAAGAAAUGAUAGUAAUUUUCUAUUAACGAACGAUAGCAAAUAUUUAGGUUGUCGCAUGGAUACAAUUUCUAGUCACAAGACUCACAAAUAUAUGAUUUGGAGGUAGUUCACACAAACGAGCAAUAAUGCUAAUCCUUUAUUGGAUACCACAAGCGUGUGAACUAGCACAAGCACAAUCAGUACAAAUCUGCCACAAAGACGGCAGGUGCAACAUACUUAAUUAUACCAGUGCACCCAUAAUGUCACUGUCAUAUAAACGAGACCACAUUAAAUUAUCACUAACAAACUAGGCCACAUCAAAACCACCGCUACCAAAGUUUAUAAUCUUAUCAAUUAAAUGUCUUUAUUAAAUCUUUUGACAACAGAAAAGAAAGCGUCAUAAUUAAGAAAUUGAUUUAAUAACAGUGAGAUAUUAACGAGGCAGACCUUGCGUAGUUGCAUUAUAAAUAUGGAAGAAAACAUUCGACGGUAAUCCUAUCGACUAAAAAAAUUAAGCACGGAAUAUCUCAACAAAAAAUAAAAAAAAUAAAAAAAAGCACGGACUGCGUUUUAUUCAACCUAGAAAAUAAUAAACUGUGUUCUUUUGUCAACCGUGAAGUCGUAACCAAGUUAUUAAUCACGCUUGGAUCAGAGGGUUCACAUUUCAUGAUGCUUGUGUUGAUAUCGUUUGUGUUUCCUAAACAAAUUUGGACGGAGAACUUAAGGUCCGUCGAAACACGUUUACUUGGAAUGAUUUGAUCAAAGUUUAGCAGAGCGAGAAAUUUUUUAACUACGUGAUCAGUUAGUCUUACGAUGUUUUAUCUCUAAUAAGUAUAAAAUUUCUUAAAUUGACUUGGACGUUAUAGAAAGAUGAAAGUGAUAUAUUUAUACACUCAUAACUCAAUUUUACUUUACACAGAACUUUGUUAAUUGUUUGUUAUUGAUCUUCUUCGAUUCAUUUGAUUCGAAACUGAAAAUUAAAAGAGGUGUACAAAAAAUAAAAAUAAGUGCAUGAAUAGCACUAUCUUACUUAUAUUACUAGGUCGAGGAUCAUUGUGUCCCAAACUUGAUUAGAGGACUUGUCAAACUUAGCCUUAGUUUAGUACUAAGGUGAUUCUGAAAAAAAGUGGCUAUUAAAAAAAACUGGGAGUUUUUUUAUGUUUGGUAAACAUUCAGCUUUAGUUUUUUUUCACAGUUUUUGGUGAAAAAAACCCAAAAACACAAAGCUGCAAAACCCAGCUUUGAAAAACCAGUUUUUUUUUUACAUCUGUUUUACAUAAAAGUUUAUCAAACACUAUAAUAUUGUUUUUUUUUCAAAAGCACAUUUACAAAAAAGUUUAUCAAACACUCUGCUGCUUUAUUUCACAGCUGCUUAUUCUCAUAGCACAGCAGAAACAAUUUUUUUUUUAAAGUACAACAAUAUCAAACCAGCCCUAAUGUGAGAUUAGUGCUUUUGAAAUAUUUAGUGUAAUCAAAACACAAAGUGGUACUUUACAUGUCAUUAUCUAAUUAAAGAUUUUUUUUUAAUUAUCUCCUUAAUUGAAUAAUAAUAUAUGAUAUUUCACUCAUGUGCCACAUAUCUUGAAAAAUCUGUCGGGCCUUAUUGUAUGAAAGGGGGGGCGUGUAUAAUUGGUCACGUGACAAUAGGGGAAGAAACACGUGUAUUCUGAGUCGGCAAAUGUUUAUAGCUGGCAAUGUUGACUCUAAUAGGGGCAUUUAAGUAAAUUCCAUAGCAGAAGUAUAGUCGCGAAUCGCGAUUGAUUCCAUGCUUCAACUGUAGGGUAACUGUUGAGGUUAGAAACCAAAGGAAAAAAACAAAGUUACGAAAACACCCCCCCUGAAGUUUUAGCCAAAGACGGGACCUUUUUGUGUCGUUAAGUUGAAAAGCAGAUAAAUGAUGACUUUCUCCAAUAAAUACAGAGAUGCUAACUGGAUAGAUAAUUUCAGUGACCAAGCAAUUAACUUGGAUAGAGUUUGCACAAAAACACAAGAAGAGUAAAAUCCUUAAAGCAAAUAUGUCACAAAGUAUUAUAUACGCAACAAAUCCGAAUCGAUGUUUAGGGCAUCUAUACUCUAAUGAGAAAAUAAAAAUUUGUGAUAGAAAAAUCUUAUUUAUGUUUCUGAUAGAUGUAAAUGAAGCUAUACUCCAAUGAGAAUAAUGGAAAUUUGAGAUCCCAUUUAAUUUUGUCUCUUUGAUUAGCGGGACUCAUCACCAAAAUAUGUAAAAAAAGAAAUAAAUUUAAGUUUAUAUUUACAUUUUUCGACGAAGAUGAUAAUUUAUAUUUCACCAUUGGAUAAUUUUCCAGCAAAGAAAAAAAUUAUAAAAUGUCCAUUUCAAAGUACUUUUGAGAGAUGCCCUUGAGAAGAAAACUUACUUACCGUUAUAAUUGUUUAGUAAUCUGAAAUAAUUGUAUACCGUUAUGCAUUUUAGAAUCCAAUUAUGUAAAUAAUCAUUCAAUAUUAUGUGCUAAAAUCUAGUUAUGUAAAGAUAUGUGAUUAACUCGAGAUACAAUAGUUAUAACAUUCCAAAUUGCGAAUAAUCUGGUAGUUCUCGAAACAAAGAAAGAAAAAAGAAAAUAAAAACUAACGAAAAGUUCUCAAAAACUUUAGUUUUUAAUCAAAAGGACAAUAUAAAUUGUAAGUGAAUAGUACCAGAAGUGACUUUUCAAGGUAAAAAAUGUCAUUCACGUUAAAAGUGAACAGUACUAGGAGUGUUUGAUUAAGAUUCCAAAAAAAAAAACACUUUUGAAAACAAAAUGUGAGAAGGGUGUAAUAGUAAUUUCAUCAGGUGUAUUACAAUUGUUAUUUUUCUUUUUUGGCAUGAAAAUGCGUAUUAAUGUGUUGUGAGUGUAGGAUUUGGUGGUGAAAGUCUCUCUCUCUCUCUCUCUCUCUCUCUCUCUCUCUCUUCGCUCGAAGUCUUGAAGUCUUGAAUUCUCAAAGACACUCCACCAGUUGAGCACCCAAAAACCUCGUAAACCCUUUUUCUUCCAUUUCAUUUCUUUACCGAGUGACGCGAGCGAGUUAAGAAAUGGCGACUCAGUUACCGGACGAUUUCAAGUGCCCAAUUUCCCUCGAAAUAAUGUCCGACCCGGUUAUACUCUCCUUACGUCACACCUUAGAUAGGCACUCCAUCUAAUCUAAGUGUUGGACAAAAGAAUUUUUCCUGCACGAAAGUAUAUGCUCUUUUGUUUUAUUAGAAAUUGAAUUAGUUAAUUACUUGAAAUAUAGUUUUUUUAUUUUAUUUUAUAAUAUUUUCCGAGUUUCUGGAGGCAUCGACAAAGUCAAAUAUCCCUAACGGGGAUGUGGAUACCUCAUCGUUUGGCCAUAACCCAUAAGCACCUGACUUUUCCUGCAAUUAUGUUUAAGCACAUUGCACUCUAUCUUUAAAAUAAUAACAAUAAUAAUACAUCACUGUAUAUUUUUAAGUUAAGGGUGGAGCUAUCCACCUACCUUUUUUUUAUCUUUGACGUAUAUUUCUUAAUUUUUAAUCGUCGGAUUAUAUGAAUUAAAAAUGAUGAAAAUACAUAAGGUAAUAAAAGAUGUGUAAAAAGUAAAAAUAAAAAAUGUGUGGAUAGCAAAUUAACAACAUCCUAAAUUAAUAUCAACCUUACUUAGUUAUUACACCCAAUAAUCAAGUAUAGGAUGGAUUUGUGCUAGAAUUCUUGAUAUUGUCAAGGUCAAGCCAUGUAUUUGGAUCAAUAUGUUUUCAAUCUAGAAAAAAAUUAUGUUGAAAAUGAAAAUUUUGAGUGAAAUAUAUUGAUUUUUCCUAUAGUAUAAAUACGUGUUAAGUACGAUGACCUAUGAAUGACAUAUGACUUACAUUAUGAGGAUUGUAUUUCCACAUGAGUGUGUUAGGUAUCUAUUUAUAUAUACAUAUAUUUAAUAUUUCUAAUAAUACAAAUCAAAAAAAUUAUAUAUAUACAUAUAUUAAAUAAAAACAUAACUGCUCCAACAUGUAUGCCUGGAAGUUGCGGGUAAGUUCACGUUGCAUCGACUGGAAAUCGAGGGCGCGUUUGCCGUUGCAUCGACAACUGGAAGUCAAGCGUAUGCCCUUAAAUUAGCGUUACUGAAACUCAAUCAAAGAAAAAGAAAAUCCAACCUUUCCGGCUUUUUGUUUCUGCAUGUCGAAAGAAGCAGCCAUUUUAGCACUUAAACUCCUCCAUGAGAAAGCUAACAAUGAAUUCUACUAAAUUCUUUUUUGUCAGUACUGUAUUGUUCCUCUUCCUUGUGAUUCUUCCCUCUUCCAUUUCGGUUACCCUAGACGCCAUUACACCAAACCAACCCCUAAGAGAGGGCGACGUUCUUCUCUCCACCACUGAAUUCUUUGCACUAGGGUUUUUUAAGCCAGGCAAUUCUCAUAACCGUUACAUCGGAGUUUGGUACAACAAAAUUCCAAUCAAAACCAUUGUCUGGAUUGCAAACAGAGAAAACCCCAUAGUUCCUACUGCUGGAACUGGACUUCUAGCCAUUCAUGCAGAUCAUGGUGGCCUUGUUAUGUAUGGGGAGGACCAAAAUACCCCUUUCUGGUCCACUAAUCUCACCGUCUCUUCUCCAAACAAUUCCGUGAUAGCCAAGCUUUGGGAUACGGGAAAUCUUGUUGUAGUUGAAAUUAAUGGCGGUAGUAGUGAAAAGGUGUUGUGGCAAGGUUUUGAUUAUCCCACAAAUACGAUGCUUCCUUUUAUGAAACUUGGGCUGGACAGGCGAUCCGGGUUGAACUGGUUCCUCACAUCUUGGAAGUCCCAAGAUGACCCGGGAAUGGGCAACUGCUCGUACCGGAUAGAGACAAGUGAGAGUCCACAGGGGUUCUUAUACAUGGGUCAGACUCCAUUGUGGCGGACUGGACCUUGGAUCGGUGAAAGAUGGUCCGGGGUGCCUCAAAUUAAAAAAACUUUCUACUCCAACGUUACUUUUGUGAACACUCAAGAUGAGGUAUCCAUCAUGGAUGGUACUGUUUAUGAAUCAAUCUUCUUUAAAAUGGUGAUCAAUGAAUCAGGAAACAUUGAACGGUCCGCAUGGCAUGAUAAUAAAUGGGUCCCGUAUUGGUCGCCGGAUCGGCAGUGUGAUUUUUACGGGAAGUGUGGUCCGAAUAGCAUUUGUUACCCAAACCCAAACUUUGCGGAUAAAUUUGAGUGCAAAUGCCUACCUGGAUUCGAACCCAAGUUGCAACAUGAGUGGUAUUUGGGAGAUUGGUCAGGCGGGUGCGUGAGGCAAAAAGGAUCAUCCGUUUGCCAAAACGGGGAAGGGUUCUUGAAGUUGGAAAGUGUGAAGGUGCCGGACACUUCUACGGCACGUGUGAACAUGAGUAGGAGUGGGGAAGCAUGUAAAGAAGAAUGCCUGAGAAAUUGUUCUUGCACGGCAUACGCAAAUGCAGAUGAAAGGCAGGGAGGGAGUGGCUGUAUAACAUGGCAUGGCGACUUGAUUGACACGAGGACCUUUUUGUAUACGGGUCAAGAUUUGUAUGUGCGAGUUGAUGCAAAUGUUUCAGGUAUAUUUCCAUUAUCAAUUUAUCUUCUUUCUUCUCUUUUCCUUAUCAAUAAUUCCUCUUAUAACGCCGAGGUUCCAUGAAAAAAAAGAUCUUCUUUCUUUAUGUCAUUAACAAAUUUGAGGAAUUAUUAUUUAGUUUGGUAGUUGUACGUUUGUUAUCAUUCUAAAAAAAAUCAUUUGGCACUGGUCUCUUGCCAAAUAAUAAAAGUGAAAUUGUUUCGUCAAGAGUGUAAGAUGACUUUUUUAGAGUACUAAUUUUUUUUAUAAAAAAUUCAGAAAUAUCUAUAAAUUAAUACUAAAAAUUUAGUUCUUAUGUUCAUUGGAGCUUUUUACAGGGUUUUUUUUUUCCCGAAUUUUUACAAGGUUUUUUAAACAUGGAAAUAAAUGCGUGUAUAUCUGCAGCUCAAUACGCAAAGAAGUCAAACAGUUCUUUUGGCAAGAAGAGGAAGCUGGAAGUUUCAGUAGCAUGUGGUCUAUUGUUCUUCCUUUUGUUUUCCCUUGCAUGUUGGUUGGUAAAGAGGAAGAGAAAAGGUAAACAAAUUUCCUUUUACUAGGUUGCCCUCUAAUCAUUCACAAUUAUGUAACUGGAUAUUGGUUUUAAUUAUUUAAGAACACAAUAUUAUUUAUUUAUGUACUUUUAUCACAGGUAAGAGAAGUCAGGAUAAACUUUUCAAUGUGACCAUAGCAUCAACCUCCUGGGAAGAUUCUUCUGCUAGAACAAAUAUUGAUGAAAGUGGAAUAAACUCUGAAUUACCAUUCUUUGAACUAAGUACCAUAGUUAAAGCCACACAUAAUUUCGCUUCCAACAACAAGCUUGGAACAGGUGGUUUCGGCUCCGUUUAUAAGGUGCGUAGUUGCCCUGAGAUAAUGUCUCAAAUCAUAAAUCAGACUUUGAAUAGACAUUUUUUAGAUUUAUUUUUUAGCCAUCUGCACUCCAAAUCAAUUAUUUUAUUAUUUUUUCCUCUACUCACCCUUGUAGUUAGGCCUGGCAAACGGGUCGUGUCUGUCGUGUUCUUGUCGUUUUCGUGUAGCACCUGUUAUCUUAACGGGUCGUGUUGUGUCAUACAUGUUAUCUUAACAGGUCCUUAACAAGUCGGGUCGGGUAAAGUGACCCGACCCGUUAAGAAAAAUAUAUUUUUUUUCUUAAAUUUGCACAUACCACACUUUGCCACAUAAAUAUUACUUCAAAACAUUAAAACACAUAAUUUAAUAUAUAUAUAUAUAAUUAUUUUAGUUUUUAGGGGUAUAAAAUUGUUAAAUUAAUAUAUAUAUAUAUAUAUAUAUACAUAUAAUUAUUAUAGUUUAUUCAUACUUUCAUUAAGUAUAACAUAAGAUUUUGUGGUAUCCACUAAUGUAAUUUUUUAAAUUGAAGAUCGAAUUCAUUCAUUGUAUUCAUAUAGAGUCAAGGAGUGUAACUGUAAAAAAUCAUCAAAAUCGGAGUUAAAAUAACCGUUAAAUAGUGAUUUUUCGUUUUAUAAUCGUCGAAAAGUUUUGUCUCGUUACUUGAUCUCUGAAUGUUUGUUCUUUGCAAUUUUUGGCGUAUGCGAUCUCGAAGUAUAUACAAACAUGUAUGACAGUUGGAUUGUUGAAACUAGUUUCGUAUAAUGCGUAUCCUAUCAAAACAAUAGAUUCACUAACACUUAGUUUAUUCUUACUUUCAUUAAGUAUAACAUAAGAUUUUGUGGUAUCCACUAGUAUAAAUAUUUUAAAUUGAAGAUUGAAUUCAUUCAUUAUAUUCAUAUAGGGUCAAGGAGUGUAGCUGUAAAAAAUCAUCAAAAUCGGAGUUAAAAUAACCGUUAAAUCGUGAUUUUUCUUUUUAUAACCGUUGAAAGGUUUUGUCCCAUUACUUGAUCUCUAUAUGUUUGUUUUUUGUAAUUUUUGGUGUAUACGAUCUCGAAGUAUAUACAAAUAUGUUUGACGGUUGGAUCGUUGAAACUAGUUUCGUAGAAUGCAUAUCCCAUCAAAACAAUAGAUUCACUAACACUUAAGAGUUUAUUCAUACUUUCAUUAAGUAUAACAUAAGAUUUUGUGGUAUCCACUAGUGUAAAUAUUUUAAAUUGAAGAUCAAAUUCAUUCAUUGUAUUCAUAUAGGGUCAAGGAGUGUAGCUGUAAAAAAUCAUCAAAAAUGUGAUUUUUCUUUUUAUAACCGUUGAAAGGUUUUGUCCCGUUACUUGAUCUUUAUAUGUUUGUUUUUUGCAAUUUUUGGCAUAUGCGAUCUCGAAGUAUAUACAAACAAGUUUGACGGUUGGAUCGUUGAAACUAGUUUUGUAGAAUGUGUAUCCCAUCAAAACAAUAGAUUCACUAACACUUAAGAGUUUAUUCAUACUUUCAUUAAAUAUAACAUAAGAUUUUGUGGUAUCCACUAGUGUAAAUAUUUUAAAUUGAAGAUCGAAUUCAUUCAUUGUAUUCAUAUAGGGUCAAGGAGUGUAGCUGUAAAAAAAUCAUCAAAAUCGGAGUUAAAAUAACCGUUAAAUAAUGAUUUUUCGUUUUAUAACUGUUGAAAAGUUUUGUUCUGUUACUUAAUCUCUGAAUGUUUGUUUUUUGCAAUUUUUGGCGUAUGCGAUCUUGAAGUAUAUACAAACAUGUUUGACGGUUUGAUCGUUGAAACUAGUUUCGUAGGAUGCGUAUCCCUUCAAAACAAUAGAUUCACUAACACUUAAGAGUUUAUUCAUACUUUCAUUAAGUAUAACAUAAGAUUUUGUGGUAUCCACUAUUGUAAAUAUUUUAAAUUGAAGAUCGAAUUCAUUCAUUAUAUUCAUAUAGGGUCAAGGAGUGUAGCUGUAAAAAAUCAUCAAAAUCGGAAUUAAAAUAACCGUUAAAUUGUGAUUUUUAGUUUUAUAACUAUCGAAAAGUUUUGUUCAGUUACUUGAUAUCUGAAUGUUUGUUUUUUGCGAUUUUUUAAUGGUGCGAUCUAGAAGCAUAUACAAAUAAGUUUGACGGUUGGAUCGUUGAAAUUAGUUUUGUAUAAUUCAUAUCCCAUCAAGUUCAAUGGUAUAUAUAUAUAUAUAUAUAUAUAUAUAUAUAUAUAUAUUAAGUAGAUUUAAUUCUAUUUAUUUUGUACGUAUAAUUAUUAUAGUUUUUUGGGGUAUAAAAUUUAAUUUAAAAUUAUAUAUAUAUAUAAUUAUUAUAGUUAAUAUUUUGGGGGUAUAAUUAUUAUAGGCUUUUUAUAUUAGCACCCCACAAAAUGUUGAAUGCACCCCAUAUUAAAAUUUAAUAUUAAAUGACUUAUUUACUCCACUAUGCAAUGACAAUUUUGACCUUAUUAGGUUUUAAAAAAAAUAAAAAUUUAUAAAUACACCUCAAAUCACUUUUAGCAUAUUAUUUAUUUUCUCAACUAUCAAAACCCUUUCAUCUUCCAUUGUUGAAUAAAACUCUAACCAAUGAAACUACAAACAUGUUGAUUGAGAAAAAUUGUUUUUGACGAAUGGAAUACAAAAUCGAUGUUUCUGAAGCUUUACAUGAGAUAAGACUUCACAUUUUUCAUUGUUUUAGUGAUUUCGAUGACAUCAAUAAUUAUUUAAUCUUGCGUUUGCCGCAUUAUUUAAACUUCUAUAUAUUCAUAUUCAUCUUUUAGGGUUCAUAUUAAUCUUGCGAACCUAGUAACAUGAGUCGUAUUAGUGCUAGAGUCAUAUACUACUUUUACAAAUUGACGAUAGCCAUUCUCCACAUGAACUCCUACUCUCAAUCUUUAGCUGUUUGAUUGACGUACAUUUCUCAUUGUGAGUUUUUCUUUCUUUUUUCUUCUUCUUUUCUUGUCACUGGGAGAUGAUCAGUGGAAAAUGAGGAGAGACAUGGCCUAUAUUUAAAGAAAUCUGAGACCGAUUCAGUUUUGAUUUAUUAAUUAACUUCUACACCUGGAUCAUUAGCAGAGAGAGGGUCUUUAUUUAUUUUGUUCAAGACUAAGUCUAAAGACUUGUGAAAUAUAUAUAGAAGCAUUCUUUGUUAGCAGUAACGAGAGAGUCUUUUUUUUUUCUUUUUUUUUACUCGAAAAGACUCAGCACCACGGGUCAUUUUUAAGGCUUUUUAGAAGUUGAAUAAGAUGAUUUCAAACUAUACUAAGAUGAUUUCAAAUCAUCAUUUUGAAAUCAUUCGGUAAACUAAACGUUCAGAUGAUUUGAAAUAUUUUGACAAAUUAAACGUUCAAAUGGUUAGAUUCAAUCCCUGAAAAUUAAAAAUGAGUGUUAUAAGAUUUGAGAAAUGUGGGGUGUAAAGAAAAUGUGGGGUGUAUGUACAAAAUAUAAGAUGUAUAUUGAGAAUGUGGGGUGUGGGGGUAUUAUGGGAAAGUAUGUGGGGUGUAUUUAGAUAAUUUUUAAGUGAAAAAGCAAAUAUGGGGUGUAUUAAGUAUGUGGGGUUUAUUCAACAAUUUGUGGGGUGUUAAUAUAAUUAGCCUUAUUAUAGUGUAUAUAAUUAUUAUAAUUAUUAUAGUUAAUUUAAUAUAUAUAUAUAAUUAUAGUAUUUUUUAGGGUUAUAAAAUUAUUAAAUUAAUAUUCUGCUUAUCGUGUAUCGUGUUACCCACGUAUAUACCCGAACCAACCAGUUAUCUUAACAGGUGAUUAUCGGGUUACCCGAUAACGACCCGAUUCGUUAUCGUGUCGACCCGAACACCUGUUAAUUUCGUGUUGUGUUGUGUCGAGUUAUUGGGUCGUGUCAGGAAUUGCCAGGCCUACUUGUAGUUUAAACAAAAGAACAUAAUGAAUAAAUCUUGCAGAGAAAGAAAUAGAAUCAAGAAGAGAGAGGGAGCAAGAUUUAUAGAGAGAGAGAGAGAAAGAGAAUCAAGAAGAGAGAGGGAGCAAGAUUUAUAGAGAGAGAGAGAGAGAGAGAGAGAGAGAGAUUUUAGACAGAAAAAGUGAAUCUUUGUUAAUGGUUUCAGAAAAAAUACAAGGUAGUGAUCCAUAAGGAUAUAUAUCCAAACUAUAUUGCUUACAAGCUAAGCUAACAUUUAGCUCACAGGUUAUUGACACUUGCAAACAAUAUUACAGUUAACAAAAAUCAAGAGACCCGUCCAAUAAAGACUGGAAAGGCUGACUCAAAAAUAUAUUUCAUUAAAAUUCAUACCCAAUCAAUAAUCGAUAAGUGAUGGGAACUAUCUUGUUUCGACUUUUCACAAUUAUCCCACACGGUGAUGCGGGUUUUGAAAUUGUAUAAAACACAUAGAAAGUUUUAAAUCUAUAUAUGAUAAGCCAUACUACUUAUAUACAUGUGGAAAUCUAUUCACAAACCUAUUCCUAAGCCAUACUAAUUAUAUAUAAGUGAUGGUUGCAUGGUAUUGAUCUUCUACACAAAAAAAGCAAACGUUUUCCACCCUAGGAAAUUGUUAAGCACCUAUCAAACUAAUUAAUUGGAAACAGUAUGGUGCUUCCCAAUCUAAAGAGUCAAUGACACUAAAGCAGCAGAUUAGUGAAUAGAUUAGCGAAUAGUUAAUUAUGAUUUGUUUUGGGUCCAAAGAAACCUUGUUAGGUGAUGGUGAAUCAAUAUGAAAGUAAACAAUGCCGAUUUCAAAAUGGAUACUAAAGAGCUAUUCAUCCGCAUAAGUAAAUACAUACCAACAGAAAAGUGGGCUAAUCCAACCAAUCUCACCAAUGGACAUUGUCACCCGAGCAAUUCGGACUAAAUCUUUGAUGAAACAAAAAAAUGCUGAGGAAAAUGAUCAUUACCCAAAAUUCCAUUCUGAACAAAUAUAUGGACCAAUCUGAAGUAAGACGAAGAAUUAUGACAUGAAAAACUUAAUAAAACCCAAUUUGAACGAAGAACUCAAUCUGAAGCAGAUUUUCACAUGCAAUAGUUCUAGAAGAUGCCUAAGAUGACAAGGAGUCAUUUGAGACCAUCAACUCAACCCCAUUCGAACGCAAUCCCAAAAUCAAAAAGGACAAAAUGGGCAAACAAAAUCAAAGCAUUUUUAUGUACAUGCAUUGAGUUUUACUCCUUUGUUAAUGUAUAAAUGCAAUUUCAAGGGGAGGAUAUAUAUAUAGAGCUACGAUUAUGUUGAUAAUUUUCUUGAAAGGUAAGUGCACUAUAAGUUGAAUUUGGAUUAUAAAUUCAGGGUGUGCUUGAUAAUGGAAAGGAGAUAGCAGUGAAAAGACUAGCCAAGAAUUCUGGCCAAGGAAUUGGAGAGUUUAAGAAUGAAGUUGUGUUGCUUUCAAAGCUCCAACACAGGAACCUUGUGAGGAUCAUGGGUUGCUGCGUUCAAGAUGAAGAGAAGAUGCUGAUCUAUGAAUACUUGGCAAACAAAAGUCUUGACUUUUUCAUUUUCGGUAUGUCUUUCUUUUACUUUUGUUCUUCUUUUUAUACAAGCAAUAUUGUGGAGGGGAAAUCGAGCUCAGGACCUCGGGUGCAGGAUUGAAUGCUCUAAACUCAACUCGGUUACAAGCACCUUUCUUUUCACUUGUGUAUCUAAAAUUGUCGGUUAAAAACCUUGAACCAAGCAAGAAUACAAUCUAAUUUACUUUGCUUACUUUUUUCCCAUACGAAGCAAAAGAGGCGUUCUUGGAUUGGACAAGACGCCUUGAGAUAAUAUGUGGGAUUGCUAGAGGGAUUUUAUAUCUUCAUCAGGAUUCAAGAUUAAGAAUCAUCCAUAGAGAUCUAAAGGCCAGCAAUGUUUUGUUGGAUUCUGCUAUGAACCCCAAGAUUUCAGAUUUUGGUAUGGCUAGGAUAUUUGGAGCUGAACAAAUUGAAGCAAAUACAAACCGUGUGGUUGGGACAUAGUAAGUUUCAUUCAAGACUAAAAGUACACCUGUUUUUUACAAUUUUCAUCCCUAUUUCACAAGGCCACAAACGUGAGUACAACUUUUGUUGAAUACUACAGAAAGAAGCUGUGAUACUUAAUCAAUUUUAUUUUGUUGCUUCAGCGGUUAUAUGUCACCAGAGUACGCAAUGGAAGGAUUUUUUUCAGUAAAGUCUGACGUAUAUAGCUUUGGCGUUUUACUACUAGAAAUUGUUACUGGCAGAAAGAACACUAGCUACUACCACGAUAGUUCUUACUCAAAUUUAGUUGGACAUGUAAGCAUAACAUUAAGACGUACCAAACUUCUCUCCGUCUGCUUUUAUAACUUGAUGAUUAAUUUGUAAAUGGUUUUUAGGUUUGGGACUUAUGGAAGGAAAGUAGAGCCUUGGAAAUCAUUGAUUCAUCGCUGGGAGAAUCAUACCAUGUCAAUGAAGUUCUAAGGUGUAUUCACAUUGCCCUCUUGUGCGUGCAAGAGCAAGCGAAGGAUCGUCCACUCAUGUCAGCAGUGGUUUCCAUGUUGGGUAAUGAUGCAGCAAUUCCUUCACCAAAGCAACCUGGAUUUUUGUUGAAGAGUGGGGACCCAUCAGCCAAUACAAAAGGAGCUUCCUCUAUAAAUGACAUGACCCAUACAGAAGUAGAAGGUCGCUAAGGGGAGAACUAGACGAAUACUCGGAAAUACCAUCAUUGAAUUUAGAGUACGAUCACGUGAUAAGUGAGAUAAGAAUAGAUGAUAUACUCCGAUUUCACUCAAUAAUUUGCCUUUUAAUUAGGGAUCUAAGUUCUAUAUCUACAACACUCAUCAUCUCUCUUGUUGUAAAUACAUGCUAUAAAUUGUGUGCCUUAUAACUAGGGAUCUAAGUUCUAUAUUUGCAAUACUCAUCAUCUGUCUUGUUGUAAAUACAAAAUAUAAAUUAAUUGCAACACUCGUCAUCAGUUCGACGAGGCUACAUAAAAGUACUUUCUAACCGCCAUAGACAUUUAGGAGGGCUGAGAACUUUGUGGCUCAAGGUUUUAGAAGCAGGCAUACUCAGACACUAAUCAAGCCACGUGUCAACUAACAGUCAAGACUCAAAAACAAAAGUCUAGAGCGGGACAUGAAGCUGGUCUGGCCUGCUCGAAGUGACAUGACUAAUUAAUCAAGGCCUAGCGGGACGCUCGGCACACAUUGGACAUUUGGAUGUUAUGAUAAUUUAGUGUUAGAAAUGAUAAUUUAGAGCUUGAAUAUUGUUCACUAUCACAUGUGCUAGUAUAUGCUUCAAAAAAUUUUAGAGGCAAAAUAUUGUUAAAAAUUAUGAUGCUCUUAUUUGUACGGUGAUUUAUACAAAACACUGUAUUAAUGGUGAUAUUUACAUAAAACUAUAUCAUAGUGAUUAGCGAAUAGUGAUUUCUACAUAAAAUUAUAUUAAAAAUAUUUGAGAUGGUAGUCAAAUCUUAUGCAUAAACUCUGUUGUGAUAGUGCAAAAGUUUUUACAGAUUAGAAAUAGUCCAAAAUUGUUUGAGUGCGGUAUCGGGCUCGAAUUUUUUAACCUCACUCUUGCUCAUCUCCCAUAAGAAUCAAGUCAAGCUUACCCGCAAGCUCGAAAAAAUUAAAUAAGCCAAAUUUAAACAUAAUAGUAUUCAGUUCGGCUUGACUAGUUUGCAGUCCUACAUUUAUUUAAAACACCCCUCUGAAUUAUUACCCAAAGACGGGACCUUUUUGUAUCUUUAAGUUGAAAAGCUGAGUGAAUUAUGACUUUCUCCAAUAAAUCCAGAGAUGAUAAUUGGAUAGAUAAUUCCACUGACCAAUCAAUUAACUGUUGGAAAAUAUUAGUAUUUUGGUUUAUUUGAAUGUUUGGUUUUAUGGGUUUAGCCCGUUAGAAUUAGGUUUGUUAGAGAUUAGGGUUAAUUUAUUAUAAAUAGGGUGCUUUGUUAUUCAUUAGAGAACAAGUUAGCCACAAUGUAGUCUCUUAGGGUUUUGUAGCCGUUUCGGCAUUCUCGUUUGUUUAAUAAUAUUCUUAUUAUUUGUUAGUCUUGUUCGUUGCGCACUCUGAUAUUCAACUUGGUAUCAGAGCGGGUUCGAUCCUUAGGGUUCAACCCGUUCUCAUUGGUAUCAAUUUGUUUGCCUUUGUCGUCGUUCGUUUUAGAUUUGUUAGUUGGUAUUGAUUGUUUGCAAGGAAAAGAAAAAUGAAAGGAAAAAAAAAAGUUUUGCUUGCAGAGGAGAAGAUUCCCCAGCAAAUAAAAAAAUGGAACUUUAACGAAAAGCACCCGGUACUGUUCACUUUAACGAAAAACCACAUUUUUACACUAAAAAGUCAAUCCUGGUACUAUUCACUUUACCCUUUAUUUUGUCCUUAUCAUUAAAACUCAAAGUUUUCAAGCCCUUUUCAUUAGUUUUCCUAUAAAAAAAAGGGGACGAAGGAGAAAAGAAGAAAAAGAAGGAAAAAAAAGAGGAACCACGGAAAGGAAGAAGAAGGAAGAAAAAAAUGGGAAAAAAAAAGGAAGGAAAAAAAUAUGGUUGUUUUGUGGUCCGUGUAUUCUUGCAUUGGGCAUGGUAACUUGAACUUGGAAUGGAAAUUUGGCAUCGACAUUGGUAUCGGCAUCGGCAUUGGUAUUGGCAUCAGCAUCGGAAUCGGCAUUGGAAUCGGCAUUGGAAUCGGCAUCGGCAUCAGCAUUGGUAUUGGCAUCGGCAUCAGCAUUGGAAUUUGAAGGCUUGCAUCCACAUCUGCUUGUUGGCAAACUCAUGUCGUCUACCGCCAUGAGUUUGAUAGGGGGUGUUGGAAAAUAUUAGUAUUUUGGUUUAUUUGAAUGUUUGGUUUUAUGGGCUUAGCCCGUUAGAAUUAGGUUUUGUUAGAGAUUAGGGUUAGUUUAUUAUAAAUAGGGUGCUUUGUUAUUCAUUAGAGAACAAGUUAGCCACAAUGUAGUCCCUUAGGGUUUUGUAACCGUUUCGACAUUCUCGUUUGUUUAAUAAUAUUCUUAUUAUUUGUUAGUCUUGUUCGUUGCGCACUCUGAUAUUUAACUUUAACUUGGAUAGAGUUUGCACAAAAACACAAGAAGAUUAAAACCCUUAAUGCAAAUAUGUCACAAAAUACUAUAUACGUGACAAAUCCGAAUCGGUGUUUAGGGGCAUCUCUAAUGAGAAAAUACAAAAUUUGAGAGGAAAAAUCAUAUUUACGUUUCUGAUCGAUGUAAAUGAAGCUAUACUCCAAUGAGAAUGAUGAAAAUUUGAGAUCCCAUUUAAUUUUGUCUCCUUGAUUAGUGGGACUCACCACCAAAAGAUGUAAAAAAGAAUAUAAAUUUAAGUUUUUAUUUACAUCCUUCAACGAAGAUGAAUAAUUUAUAUUUCGCCAUUGGAUAAUUUUUCAGCAAAGAAAAAAAUAUAAAAUGUCCAUUUCAAAGUACUUUGAGAGAUGCCCUUGAGAAGAAAAGCUUACUUACCGUUAUAAUUGUUUAGUAAUCUGAAAUAAUUAUUUACCGCUAUGCAUUUUAGAAUCUAUUGUGUAAAUAAUUAUUCAAUGUUAUGUGCUAAAAUCCAGUUAUGUAAAGAUAUGUGAUUAACUCGAGAUAGAGUAGUUAUAACAUUCCAAAUUUCGAAUAAUCUGGUAGUUCUCGAAACAAAGAAAGAAUGAAGAAAAAAAACCUCUGAAAACAAAAUGUGAAAAGGUGUAAUAGUAAUUUCAUCACUGUAUUACAAUUGUUAUUUUUCUUUUUUGGGCGUAUUAAUGUGUUGUGAGUGUAUGAUUUGGUGGUGAAAGUCUCUGUCUGUCUCUGUCUGUCUCUGUCUGUCUCUCUCUCUCUCUCUCUCUCUCUCUUCGCUCGAAGUCUCAAAAACACACUCCACCAGUAGCACCCGAAAACCUCGUAAACCUUUUUCUUCCAUUUCAUUUCUUUACCGAGUGACACGAGCGAGCGAGUUGAGAAAUGGCGACUCGGUUCCCGGACGAUUUCAAGUGCCCAACUUCCCUCGAAAUAAUGUCGGACCCGGUUAUACUCUCCUCGGGUCACACCUUUGAUCGGGCCUCCAUCCAACGCUGGCUCGACGCCGGUCACACCCGGUUACAAAAGGGUUGAUUGCUAUUGCACUUGUUCAGUUCGUUCUUCUGAUCCGGUGCUGCGCUUCAAUCGAUAGUAUAACAACUGAUCAAGCGAUCAGGGAUGGCGAAGUUCUAUUCUCUAGUGGAGAAGUGUUUGAGCUUGGUUGAUCUUCAGCCCCAGAAAAUCUACGAACACUAUGUUGGAAUCUGGUAUAAGAAAGAUGUAGAAAAAAGAGUUGUAUGGGUUGAAAACAGAGACAAUCCUGUCAAUGACACUUCAGGAAUCCUCUCAACUGGUGCAAAUGGUAACCUCUUCCUCUAUGCCGAAAACCAAAGCGAUAUUCCCCUCUGGUCUGCCAUAUCCAAUGUUUCAAUCGCAUCAUUACCAUCCAAUUCCACACAUGAGCCUAAUUACAAAGCUCAGCUCUUAGAUACUGGAAAUAUUGUGGAGGGGAAAUCGAGCUCAAGACCUCAGGUGCAGGAUUGAAUGCUCUUAACUCAACUCAGUUACAAGCGCCAUUCUUUUCACUUAUGUAUCUAAAAUUGUCGGUUAAAAGCCUUGAACCAAGCAAGAAUACAAUCUAAUUUACUUUGCUUACUUUGCUAGUGGGAUCUUAUAUCUUCAUCAGGAUUCGAGAUUAAGAAUCGUCCAUAGAGAUCUAAAGGCCAUCAAUGUUCUGUUGGAUUCUGUCAUGAACCCUAAGAUUUUAGAUUUUGGUAUGGCUAGGAUAUUUGGAGCUGAACAAAUUGAAGCAAAUACAAACCUUGAGGUUGGGACAUAGUAAGUUUCCUUCAAAACUGAAAGUACACUUAUUUUUUACAAUUUUCAUCCCUAUGUCACAAGGCCACAAACGUGAGUACAACUUUUGUUGAAUAAUACAGAGAGAUGCUGUGAUAAUUAAUCACUUUUACUUUGUUGCUUCAGUGGUUAUAUGUCACCUGAGUACGCAAUAGAAAGACUUUUUUCAGUAAAGUCCGAUGUAUAUAGCUUCAGCAUUUUACUACUAGAAAUUGUUACCGACAGAAAGAACACCGGUUACUACCAAGAUAGUCUUUACUUAAAUUUAGAGCAUAACAUUAAGACAUUACCAACGUUCUCUCCGUCUGCUUUUAUAACUUGAUGAUUAAUUUGUAAAUGGUUUUUAGGUUUGGGACUUGUGAAAGGAAAGUAGAGCCUUGGAAAUCAUUGAUUCAUCUCUGGGAGAACCAUACCCUGUCAAUGAAGUUCUAAGGUGUGUUCACAUUGCCCUUUUGUGCGUGCAAGAGCAUGCAAAGGAUCAUCCACUCAUGUUAGUAGUGGUUUCCAUGUUGGCUAAUGAUGCAGCAAUUCCUUCACCAAAGCAACCUGGAUUUUUGUUGAAGAGAAGUUAUCAUACUAGUGGAGACCCAUCAGACAAUACUGAAGGAGCUUACUCUAUAAAUGACAUGACCCAUACAGAAGUAGAAGGUCGCUAAGGAGAGAACCAGACAUAUACUCGAAAAGAUUAUAUCAAUCAAUUAAGAGUAUGGUCUCUUAUGAGUGAGAUUAGAAGAAAGGAUAUGCCCUGAUUUCACUCAAUAAUUUGCCUUAUAACUAUUGAUCUAAGUUCUAUAUCUACAACACUCGUCAUCUGUCUUGAAAUGCCGCUCCUUUCAUUUUGCAUAUCAUUGAACUUUUGGUAUUUUGUAAUAAUGUACUAAUGUUUUUUCAUUAGACUCUUAUUUUGGGGUAUGUAAUACUUAAAAGACAAAUGUUGUUUUUAUAUUUUGAAGUAAUAUUUAUGUGACUAUAUGGUAUACAUAUACUAAUUUAGUAUUAUGUUUUCAAUUUUUUGGGGGUCAAAUUAUGUUUUUCAUUUUCAUUAUUUAUUGAUUUAAAAUAUAUUUUUUUAACUGGUGUUGGGGGACUUUUAGGUCGAGGCGGACUUGGGCUUUGAGAACGUCACCCUUGGUGCAAGUUCGUGACAAGUCUGGGAUAUCUCGAAGGAGGUAGCUUGUCCUAGGAAACACCCUGGUAACAUCAACGGCUCAAAGAUAGCACAAAAGAUCAAGAUAAUGACUUGCUCAAGCAAAGCAUGGUGUGGAAGCUAGAAGAUUAUCGGUUUACAUGAGAGAAAGAAGGUUUGCAUGGUUGCAUGGCAUUCUUAGUUGCAUGUUUCGGGCUUUCCUAGGGUGAUAGCAAGGCUUCUAGUGGCUGAGAUGUUUGAUGGAGGGCUGUGGAAAUCACUACAAUUGCAUGAAUGGUGAUACUUGAAGCUUAGAGUAUGCAUCUGGACUAGAUGGAACUCUUUGGGCUUCUUCCUGGGUGGAAACAUCUUACUAUGUUUUGUCUAUCUCUCUCUAUGUAUUUCUCUCUGCGUUCUAACCUCCUCAUUUCUAAUAGCUUCUCCCCCUCUUUAGAUAGGUGAAGAGCUUCUCUUUAGAUUUCAAGAAAUAUCUCUUUGUGGCUUGGUCUUCCCCUCAUUUCUCCCUAGCUAUCCCAGUAUUUCCCUUUUGGUGUAAACUAGAUGCACUGUUUGAGUUAUGCAGAUUGCUGUUUCUUGAGAUGCAGCUUUCCUAGGGCGGCCUUCCGCAAGCGCUAAAUCUAGUAGCGCGCUUCUGGGCUUUUGUGCAUUCGCUGUCUGUGCAGGCUGGGAAUGGAAAGUCAGCAUUAAAUGCCUGACUUGCUAAGCUUGACAUGCAUUUAAUGUAAGAAUCUAGUUUAAUUCUAAUUAAGGGGAUUGGCUUACUAGGGAAAUGGAUAAACUAGGCUAGCUCUCAUUCCCAAUGAUGCCUGCGUGAAAUACAAAGGGUAUAGGCUUGGAUCUUUAGGCUCCUAAGCAGCCCAAAGUCUUCCAUGACCCUAAUUCCACAUAGGCCCGAUAACCUUAUGUAAUCAUCCACACCACAAUCCACUUAGCAAGUCUCGAAUAUGUGACUUGGGCUUAGCGUGAAUAUUGACUAAGGAGGCAUGGCGUGAUGAAUAAUACGUGAGCAUGGUGUGAGUAUUCCGCUUAAUUCUUGUGGCAUGGCAUGCUUGUAAAUAUAUUCCUUGUUGGUCCCGUGCCUUGGCAUGUGCUUGGGCUUGAAUGUAGGCUUUGCAUGAUAAUUGGGCUUUGAGACUUGGUAGGAUCGAUGCGUGACAUUUUUAGGCCCCAACAACGAGUAAAUUGUAACAGGUCAGGUCAUAUUACCUAAUAAUAUUAACGGGUUGAUUUCGAAUCAGGUCAUAUUACCCGUUUACUUUAACGGAUAUUGCCUGACACGACCCGUUAAGAUAUUGGGUAUGUCACGAAAACGACAUGAACACGAAAAACACAACAUGAAUACCAGGUCUAAUGCUCGACACACAUUAGACCUUUGGAUGUUAUGAUAAUUUAGUGUCAGAAAUAAUAAUUUAGAGGUAGAAUAUUGUUGACUAUCACAUGUGCUAGUAUAUGCUUCAAAUAAUUUUAGAGGUACAAUAUUGUUAAAAAUUAUAAUGCUCUUAUUUGAACGGUGAUUUAUACAAGGGGAAACUUGAUAUAAGCAAUUUUUUUUAGCCGAUAGUAGGAAUAGUCCAAUUUAUUUAAAUAAGUCCAAUUCUUUAAAUUUAAUUAUUUAAUUAUCAAUAAUUAUCUAUUAAAUGAUAAGAUUUAUUAUUACUUUAGUCUAAAGAAAGGUUUGGAAUUGACACUGUAGAAAUGAAUAGUGUUUCAAUUCGAAUUUCAGAUUAAUUACUACCAUGCCAUUGAUCUUUCUGUUGGUUUUGGGUCAGCAGCCCAGCCUUCAGCCAGGCCCAAAUGUGUUGGUUUUAGCUGGGAAGCAAGGCCCUCAAUGAGGCCUAAAUUAUUUAACUACAUUUUUGCCCAUCUAGUGUAACAUCCCACAUCGCCCAGGGGAGUAAAUCAUGUAAGCCUUAUAUGUAUAUUCUCAUCUCUACCUAGCACGAGGCUUUUUGGGAACUCAAUGGCUUUGGGUUCCGUAGGAACUCCGAAGUUAAGCGAGUAGCUCGUGAGAGCAAUCCCAUGAUGGGUGACCCACUGGGAAGUUCUCGUGUGAGUUCCCAGAAAUAAAAUCGUGAAGGCAUGGUCGGAGCCCAAAACGGACAAUAUCGUGCUACAGUGGAGUUGAGCCGGGGAUGUGGUGAGGGCCCGGGUCGGGAUGUGACAUCUAGGAUUACAAUCUGAUAGUAGGGAUGGUUUAUUACGAAGGGCAAUUUUGUCCUCUCUGUUUUGGGCGAGAUAGGGGGUCACUGGUUAGGUAUCAUUUGCUGUCGUUCAAUUAGGGUUUCGGGAAGGGUCUGCGAGAGAGAGAUAGAUAGAGAGAGAGAUGGCGAUGGAAGAAGAGAGAGGGGGAGGGGUAGGGGUCUCGACACUGUUGCUGCAGAUGAGAGGGUCGGUAUGGUCAAAGAAAACCAUAUGGGUCGUCAGGAUUUCAGGGAGAUAGGGAAGGGGUCAUCAACAAACCCUACCGAGGGUAAGGUGUGCCGGAUCUUGCGUUGCAUGCCUCAAAUCCAAAGGUUAGUUCCUUUUUAAAAUUGUUUUCUUUAAUGGUGCCUUAGAUUUUCUAAUUGUUUAGUAUGUUAGGUCCAGUUUUAGGGGAUUUGUGAUUUUAUAGAGAGAGAUGGAUAGGGAGAUAGAGAUUGACAGAGGGAAGAAAAAGCAUGGUUGUGUGCAUUUUUUUGGGUUAAUUAAUGGGUUAGCGCACAGGGUCAGUGAGGAGAGUGACAAAGGGGUGUAUAGGAGGGUAUGGGUUUUCACUUUUUUGCUCUGAUUCAACAGGUUAUGCACUGUUUGAAAAUCAUUGUUUAUUGUUUUGUUUUCCGUUUGCUUUGUUAAAACCAUAUUUCAAUUUUUUUGGUUUCAUUGUGCUCAUUUAUGUGCUUCUUAAUAACUUCCUGGUGUUUGCUUCUCAUCCCUUUGUUGGUAGAUUUUUCCCCAUUUCUUGGUUCCUUAUGUAUUCCUUGGUACAAAUCUGUCUAAUUUUUGGCUAUGUGAUGAUCCUUGCAGGUGAGCUACAUUAAUGUUGUUUUGAAACACAGAGCUUCAUCCCCUCGAAUAUGCAAUUCAUAGUAGCAGCCUCACCCUUUCACUAUUAUCUGCUUAAAGCAAAACAUUUUUAUUAUGGCCUUGGUUUCUUGACAUUUUUAGGUAUAUAAUUUGCUAUACUUUUGUUUUGGUUACUUCAGUUAGAUGUAAUGUCACCUAACAUAGUAUAAUAGACAAAAUCACCAUCUCUGUUCUCUUCAAGAUAAUUUAUUUCGUAAUCCAACUUUGUUUGCAAGCUUUGUUUGCAAUAGUAUGUAUAAGCCAGAUCUCUUAUUUCCCUGCAAAUGAAUAGAAUUAAUGCAAUCCUCGGUCAAAUCAUUUAUCACAUUCAGACAAGUUCCCAAUUAUUUUUGCAUAUGAAGAAGACCAUCUUCACCAACACCGGAUUUAUCUGCAAACUUAAUUUUGAUCACCCCGAACUUAUUAAUCAAGAAGCCACUGUUUUAAUAAAAUUUGGCAUAAUCUUUAACAUGAAUAUAGAAGGAAAGAAUGGAUGUAUAUGUGUAGAAAUUAUGUUGGAAGGUUGGUUAAACUUAGGCUUAUUCUCAAGUAUAGUAUAAAUUCUUGGGUUAUUUGGAUUUCAGUAUUUAUCAAACUUUGCCUUGCUUAUGUAUUGAUCUCAUAACUGUCGCUUUCAUACAACAACCCAAAUAUGGAAUCUGCCAUCUGGAUUCUAUAUGGAAGUUGUGAAGCUUUUUUCCCUCAAAAUUUUGGUCUUUUUGUUUUUGUAUGUUGGUUUAAAACAAGGGUUAUUCUACAAAAUGGUCCCUGAGAUUUGCAUGAUCAAUAGAAAUGGUCCUUGAGAUUGAAAAUCAAUAUAAAUAAUCCCUGAGAUUGUCCACCAUCCAUGAUUUUGGUCAUUCCGUUAAAAACUCUUUGGGCAAUUUUCAAAGCUUCGUAACUUAAUUGAUUCUUAACCAAAUUUGACCCAUAAUAUAUAAAAAUGAAUAUAAGAAAGUGUAGAACAAGAUUAUACCUAUUUGGAAGCCCAAUGAUUUCCAGAGAUGGCUUGAAAAUAGCCUGAAAGGUGACUGGUCCGUGGGAAAACUGGAAAACUCGCCAGAAACUAAGUAAACUUUAAGCGUUCAUAACUUCUUCAAUACUCAACGAAAUCAAGUGAUUCAAAAAUGAAAAUCAUACUUCUCAAAGAUACGAAGAGAAUGGUAUCUUUCUUUACUACUAACUUGCCAUGAUUUAGCCGGAAAACUGCUCGAAAGUGGCUAACUCAAAAAUGGUUAGCCACAUUUGAGCCGUUGUUCAACCAAAACACAGCGAUUUAGCCUUCAAAAAAAGUACCAUUCUCUUCGUCUCAUCAAGAAGUAUUAUUUUCAUUUUUGAAUCACUCGAUUUGGUUGAGUAUUGAAUAAGUUAUGAAUUUUUAAAGUUUACCCAGUUUCCGGCGAGUUUUCCAGUUUUCCCAUGGACCAGUCACCUUUUAGGCUAUUUUUCGGCCAUCUCCGGCAACCAUUGGGCUUCUAAAUAGAUAUAAUCUUAUUCUCCACUUUCCUAUCUUCAUUUUGAUAUAUUAUGGGUCGAAUUUAAGAAACAAUUGAGUUACAAAGCUUUGAAAGUUGCCCAAAAUCGUUUUUAACUAAAGGACAAAAUCAUGGAUGUUGGACAAUCUCAGGGACCAUUUUGUAUAAUAACCCUUAAAACAAAUAAAAAGUUUUUGUAUUGGUAUUUUGCUUUUGUUCCUAAACAAUGGCAAUUUUUUACUUCUGAAAUGAUUGUCACCUUAUUAUUUGUUUAUGUGCCAGUGCCAAGUUCUGAUGGUGCUCAUUGCUCUAGGAAAAUUGGGAGGGGAAAUUUUCAUAUGCUUUGUGGAAUCUUUGAUGCAAUUAGCAUUUUAAAUUUGACCCCUCCCAUUAGUUUUUUUUUUUUCUGAUAAAUUCUGUUGCGAUCUAUGUGUGUUGCUGAUGAAAGAAGAUAAAGGUUUAGCCAUGAUUCUUAAUGGUCCCUGAAACUUGUUGAUGCACAAAAUCAGUGGGGAAUUUGGUAUAACAGAAAAUGUUAAGUUUGUGACCUUCGCUAGAUUGCUCCGGUCACUAGUGUGGAUAAGUAUGUAAAUGGACAGAGACAAGGAAGCAAACACAAGAUGUACGUGGUUCACCCAGAUUGGCUACGUCCACGGAGUAGAGAAGUUCUCAUUAAUUGUGAAGGGUUUACACAAGUACAUAGGUUCAAGCUCUCAUUUAGUGAGUACAAGUGAAUGAUUUAGUACAAAUGACAUUAGGAAAUAUUGUGGGAGAAUGAUCUCCUUUUAUAAAAGAGAGUUUCUAGUUUUGUUUUGACGUUAACACGUGUCGUGUUGUGAUUAGCUUCUGAUGUUGACACGUGUCGUGCUAUGAUUGGCUUCUGAUGUCGACAUGUGGUGCACUGUGAUUGGCCUUUUGGUUGGAGGGAAACUCUUUUGGGUCCUUGACGGUAUAACGUUGAUUAGUGCUUAGUAGUUUUGGGAUUGGUCAAGUAUGGUAUAAACAAAACUCAUGGGUACUUUCACUUACUAUGCAUACGGUGAUAAUUGUGGCUGAGGCUGUUAUGAUUCAUAACUAGGCAAUUUCCUCUCACAUUUCCUUUGGUUGUGUAAUGAUUUUCUUUUGUCCUAACUUCACUUGCCAUCAUAUGUUUAGGCUUGGGUUACCCUUGGUAGAGCAAAGUUAAACUUUGGGGAGGCUGAUAGUGCCAUUCAAAGCUUUGACAGAGCAUUAGCCAUCAAGGUACUGUUUCACCUUUCAAGAAAUUAUAAUUUGUACUUCUCAAACUUCUUACACUUUUUUAUGCCUCUUUGAGCCACUGACCUUAGGUGGAGUCUGAUACUGCAAUAUUAUGUACUAAUCUAAUAAACCCUGCAGCUUAUUCGUCUUCUUCAUGGGUAAAAUAACAUGACAGAAAGAAGCAGUAACCAGUUCACCCAUUCCCUUGAUGAUCGUUAUAAUCUUUGUUUUCUUAGUCUCCUCUAUGCCCUCCUCAUCAAGAAAGUUCUUAAACCUGUUCCCAUAUGUGUAUUGUUAAGUUGCUAAUUUAUAGAUUAACCUACUGUGAUUCUGUGCUUGAAGUCAGGCAUAUGGUUAGACUUCCAAAUUGAUGCCUUAGUAGCUUCAAUGCUUGCCUUAAAAUUACUAUAGGCAUAACUGUUACAGUUUGUUUGUACCAUACUUGACCAAUCCCGAAACUACCGAGCACCGGCCAACGCUAUACUGUCAAGGACCCAGAAGAGUUCCCCUCCGACCAGGAGGCCAAUCACUACUCGACACGUGUCAAGAUUAGAAGCCAAUCAGAGCGCAGCACGUGUCGACAUCAAGAACCAAUCAUAACAUGACACAUGUCAAUGUGACAAAGCUACAAGUUUUUCUAUAAAUAGGGGUCAUUCCCCCACAAUAUCGCCUAAUGCCAUUUUGUGUUAAAUCAUUCACAAGAACUCACUAAAUUGAGAGCUUGAUCCUUUGUACUUGUGUAAGCCCUUCACUACUAAUAAGAACUCCUCUACUCCGUGGACGUAGCCAAUCUGGGUGAACCACGUACAUCCUGUGUUUGCUUCUCUGUCUCUAUUCAUUUACGUACUUAUCCUCACUAGUGACGGAAGCAACCAAGCGAAGGUCACAAAACCUGACACUUUCUGUUGUACCAAAGUCUUCGCUGAUUUUGUGCAUCAACAUUUGGCGCCGUCUGUGGGAAACGACACUUAUUCCUACUCUCUUCAGCUGUGUCAAGCUGGUUUCUAUCAUUCGUACACUUUCUUUUGAUCUGGCAUCCCUCUCCAGCAUGGGAAGCGAAGGAAGCCACAGCACACAGAAUGACACCCCCCUUGCACAUAGUGCGAAACAACGAAAGAAGGAAGGAAAACGAGUUAUUCUUCAAGCUAAAGUCGAUGAGUUGGAAGCUUAGAACAACAAGAUAGCAAUGAGGAAUGAGGUCCUCCAGGAGCAAUAUGAGAAGCUCUUCGAGACACUUCACGAAGCUAGGCAAGCUCAGACACGCGAGCUUGUUGCCCCCGUGGAAGUCAACCAUCAACUGGGUGCCCUCCAACAUGGAGGGUCACAUGCAUUCGACAUAGAUAUCCCUGAUAGGGAACAAAUUACCCCUCGAUUUGAUAAUCAACAUGAGGCUUCUCUUAACCCAGUUGCUUCGACCCGAACCAUGAGAAGCGGAGGGAGACACCUCUUUGCUGAAGGGGCAGAAGGAUCGAAAGCUGUCUUUCGCGAUUGUCGGGAUUUCCUGAAGCAACGUCGAGAGAAUUCCAUCCAUAUAAGCUCAAAGAUCAAUGACCCAAGGAUUUCUGAGAGACUCGGUCCCCUGCCACGGCCCGAGCCGGCCACCAACUUGGGGAAGGGGCAACAAGUCCUAGAGAGACAUGAGGGUACAGGGGACUCAGAGGUGUUCCGACAGACAUACCCUGGAAGCCAGUACAGCGAGUCCAGGGAAAAAAUCACAUGCCCUUGAUCAAACCUUCCUAAUUCCAAGAGGAGAUGGAGAUUUACGAAAGAAAGCUCCAGUGGCACAUAACUCCGCUCAGGACCCCCCUUGUCCUACAACUUCUUGAGGAAGUAAACAAGUUGAAGGCUGAACGUCAGGCUAAAAUACCUGACUGGAACCAACCCAGGCCUGGCCCUCUUACAAGGAGGAUCCUCAACACCCCCCUUCAAGCAAAGACAAAGCAGAAGCUUGGCUUGCAACUUUAUACUGGGAAAGAGGACCCGAUUGAGCACCUUAACCUCUUUGAGUCCACCAUGGCAUACCGGAUGCACACCGACGAAGAGCGAUGUCUUCUCUUCCCCUCCACCCUCUCUGGCGGAGCUCUAAAUUGGUAUUGUCGUCUUACACCUGAGACGGUAGACUCAUUUGAGGAAUUGAGGAAACUAUUUGUUUCCCAACACAUUUUCCAAACCGAUCGCUUGCACUCUGCAGAUGACCUGUACACUAUCCGCCAGAAGCCAGACGAGUCAUUACGUAUGUAUGCUGGCCGCUUCAGCCAUGAAUACUCCCGGUGUGCCGAGGCAGACGACAAGACUGCCCUCAAAGCCUUCACGGCAGGCCUACGUGAUUGUUUCUUUAAAUACAUGAUCAAUGUCAAUACUUGGAAGACUUACUCUGAGGUGAUGGCGCAGGCUUAUAACCAUGCCUCCGCCGAGGCAAAGACAUAUCAGGAGAAACCCCCUACAACCAUCCUUUAUCAACAAGUGGGAGGUGGAAGCCAGACUCACCUAAAUGAGAAGACCUCGACUUUCCAAACAGCAGUGGCACCUCCCCAUGCCGUGCAUAAUGCUUCACCGAAUCAACAGACAUAUCAAUUUCAAGGCAAGAGGAAGGAUUUCCAUCCUCACCACUCUCCUUCCAGUAAAAAGAGUAAGGGACACUAUCCCGAUAACCAAGGGUAUCGCCACAAUAACGCUCGCCCCCAGGCAGUCAAUGCAGUGGGUCAAACCCGCGUCAAGAUACCCCCUACCCCAAGGUAUGAGACAUACACGCCCUUGAAUGCCACAUGCGCGGCCAUUUACCCCAGCAUAGCUCACCUGAUACCAAAGCCAAAGCCGAGGCACCCAGAUUACACGCCCCCGAAUAACGCGGGCAUGUUUUGUUGCUACCAUGAGCAUAACGGCCAUGAUAGCGAGAAAUGUAUCAUCCUCCGUGAUCGUAUUGAAGCUUUGGCACGAGAAGGAAAAAUUGAUCAAUUCCUCCUUCACCCUCAAAGGGAUAACCGUAACCAACGCCAGGUGAAUGUCAUAUAUAUUCCAUAAGCGGCGGCACACCCCAUAUCUGAAUCUUCCAAUAGGGCCAUGAAAAACAGUGAACGAAUUCUGAGGCCUGGUCACCAAGUGUUUCACGUGGAAGACAUCAGGGGAGGGAAGUAUCAAAAGCCUAACUGGGAUCCGAUAUGUUUCUACCCUGAGGAAGAAAGAGGCAUCAUCUACCCUCAUAACGACCCAUUGAUCGUGGAGGCUCACAUAGCCAACUUUGAUGUUCGACGAAUCCUCGUAGACACAGGGGCUUCGGUCAAUAUCAUGUUUGCCGAAGCUUUCAGGGCACUCAGUGUAGCUGAACACUUGCUCGAUCGCUCGAUUUCUCCUCUGAUAAGCUUCUCCGGUGAUAUCGUGCAACCCUUAGGGAGCAUACAUUUACCCUUUACUAUUGGUACAGGCCCUUACACGGCUACCAUUACCACUAACUUCCUAGUGGUUGACUGCCCAACGGCAUACAAUGUCAUCUUUGGGCGCACAGGCAUCAAUGAUCUCAAGGCUAUAUGGUAUCCACGCAUAUGCUGUUGAUGAAAUUUCCAACCCCCAUGGCAACGACUACAUCAGAGGAGAUCAGCUUACUGCACGAUCAUGUUACAACACUUCAGUUAAGCAACAACACUUGCCCGGACCCAAGGAAACCCUGUCUGUACAUGACCAAGUCACAAAGACCAGCCUAGAUGAAGCGAACUUGGAUCUUCCUGAUAGCAACAAUCAACCCGAUGAUCCUCGAGAUGACUCUUUCACCCAGCAAGCCCAACCUGCUGAAGAGUUGGAGAAGGUACCUAUCUCAAGAGAUUAUCCAGAUCGCAUGGUGAAGAUUGGCACCACAUUGUCACCACCCCUUCGGUUAGCAUUGAUAUCUUUUUUGAAAGAGAACACUGAAGUCUUCGCCUGGUCAUACGAGGACAUGCCAGGCAUCUCUCCCGAUGUCAUCUGUCAUCGUUUGAGUAUUGACCCCAAGAUCAAGCCGGUGAGACAGAAGCGAAGAUCUUAUGACGCUGAACGAUACGAGGCAAUGAAAGCAGAAGUUGAAAAACUCAAAGGCAUAGGCUUUGUCCGCGAAGUCAAUUACCCGACAUGGGUAGCAAAUGUGGUCCUUGUUAGGAAAAAUCCGACCAAAGAAAGUCUUUCGCUUCAAAAGGUCUUGUGGAGGAUGUGUGUUGACUACACCGACCUAAAACAAAGGGUGUCCGAAAGAUAGUUUCCCUCUUCCUCUUAUUGACAGGCUUAUAGACUCUACGGCAGGGUGUGAGCUCUUGAGCUUUAUGGACGCUUAUUCAGGAUACAACCAAAUCCUCAUGAACCCCUCAGACCAAGAACACACGGCCUUCACUACUGACAGGGGACUAUAUUGCUAUAAAGUCAUGCCUUUCGGCCUAAAGAAUGCAGGAGCAACUUAUCAGAGACUGGUCAAUUCAAUGUUCGCCGAACAAAUUGGGAAGAACAUGGAAGUUUACGUUGAUGAUAUGCUAGUCAAAAGCAAACAUGCUGACCAACACAUCACCAACCUAUCUGAAACUUUCACCAUUCUAAAGAGGUAUCGAAUGAGGUUGAACCCCAACAAAUGUGCCUUCGGCGUGGGCUCUGGCAAAUUCUUAGGCUUCAUGAUUAGCCAACGAGGCAUUGAAGCUAACCCUGAAAAGAUCAAAGCAAUCCUCGACAUGAAAGAGCCAAUAACUUCAAAAGACAUCCAAAGCCUUACUGGCAAGGUGGACGCCUUAACCAGAUUCAUCUCUAAGGCCACAGACAGAUGUGCUCCUUUCUUCAAAGCACUCAAGGGAAAUAAGAAGUACAUUACAUGGACGGAGGAAUGUGCCAAGGCAUUCAGGAACCUCAAAGAGUACAUGAGUAAAGCCCAUCUGCUCUCCAAACCAGAAGUUGGUGACACUCUCAUCAUCUAUCUAUCGGUUUCGGCUUCAGCAGUCAGUUCUGUUCUUAUUCGAAUGGACAGUGGUGUCGAACGGCCCGUCUACUACGCUAGCAAGGCCCUACAAGAUGCGGAGACACGAUACUCCAACAUUGAGAAAUUAGCUCUAGCAUUGGUCAUGUCUGCUCGGAAACUUCGCCCUUAUUUCCAAGCACACGCCAUCAUCGUGCUUACCAAUCACCCUCUUCGACAGAUACUCCAGAGUCCUACACGUCUGGACGAAUGAUCAAAUGGGCGAUAGCAUUGGGUGAGUUUGACAUCUCCUACCAACCAAAACCAGCCGAAAAAGGCCAAGCAGUAGCAGAUUUCAUCGCCGACUUCACAUAUCCUGUUGACAUUGCUUCUACACCUAAAGCAGUAGCUUCAUUACCAUCGAAAGCUCAGAAGAUAGAACCAACAACCCCAGCAUGGAGUCUGUAUGUUGAUGGCUCAUCCAACCAACAAGGCUGUGGAGCGGGACUAGUCUUGACUACGCCCGACAAAGUAGCAAUGGAGUAUGCUCUUCGUUUCAAAUUCAAGGCAUCAAACAAUGAGGCCGAGUAUGAAGCCCUUCUAGCAGGAUUACGUUUGGCCAAACACCUCGGGGUUAAACAAAUUGAUAUUUUCAGUGACUCCCAAUUAGUGGUCAACCAGGUUACCAACAACUUUGAUGCUAAGGACAGCUCCAUGGCAGCAUAUCUUGCGCAAACACAACUUUUGCUCAAACACUUCCACUACCAGAUCACCCAAGUUCCUCGAGCGGCAAACAGUCAUGCAGACGCCCUGGCUCGCCUCGCCUCAGCUGUGGAAGACAAGAUUGGAAGAAAAAUUNCUGGAAGUACUUUUUCUCCAUCCAGGGGUGGUAUCUUUAACCGAUGAAGAUGCACAAGGUAAUGUAUCAAUUUCACUUGAAGCUUAGUUGUAGUUUUGGGCUUGGUCAAGUGCGAUACAAACCCUAUAGUAGGAGUCCCCUAAGUCGCCGAGCUAGGAGAUUUUCGGAAUGAGGUAACAGACAAGGUAAGCAAUCAGACUUCCAAGCAAGCAACCUAGAUCGGAGGUUCGACUUCAGCUUCCGGUUGAUUGUUCUCCUUCUUCUUGUGUUGUAAACAGCAACAAAGAUAAGGAGAAGCAAAUGGAGAAUAAAUGAUAUGAGAUACUUUUGCUUUUGAAGAAGUAACUUUCCACCAGUUUAUUCUUGAACUGGGCUGGAGGGUUUUCUGGUUUCCUCUAGAGUAUAAGGCUGACUCAAGAAUUUAAGGGUCAAAACAAGUCCAUCAAAUCUGGAGUACGUUCGACCCUGAUGAUAUGGGAUACUUUUGUUGUUGACAAAGUAGUGGAUGUAUCGACACGUGUUCUGUUACGCUUGUCUCCACAUGCUUCCUUGUAUCCUUCUCACUUGCCCUAUCUGUUCCUCAGGCAGAUAUGGUAUCUUCUUUGGAAGCAUAAGAUGUUGAAGAUGAGUACUCAAGAGCAAUGCCAGGUAAGUAAUCAGGCAAGGGGUUACAGGCAAUCAGUUUCUAACUGGAAGCUUGAUUCCAAGUGCUGACUGAUUGCUCUCUUUCUCCUUGUCUUACAGGUAAGAACAAGGCCAAAGGAAAAGACAGGGAAAAAGCAUGAUAUGGGAUACUCUUGCUUUUAACCGUGAUGAUAUGAGAUACUCUUGCUCUGGUGUGGCUUGUUUGCAGAGGUAUUAUGGGGAGGAAAAGAAGCUGAGUAUUUCGAGAAACUCUGCUGAGAGUGCCCUCUCGGAUGUGAGGAAAAGUUGAGCAUUUUUUUUUAUUUGCAGGUCUGCCUGGCUAUGGAGGAUGAAGGUCGACAUAUAUAAGAGUCUCCUUAAUAACAAGUAGUAGUGCUAUUCCUUUACCCUUCUUGGUCAUAGCAAUGUAGUGGGAGCUGCAAGCUUCACGUGUUUUAACUUUGUCAGAGCACUUUGAAAAACUGGUAUGUGGUAUCUGAAAAGCUGAUGUUGCGUGUGAAGAUUGCAGACAAGCUUUAUCCAAGGAAAUCUGGCUCUCGAAGUUCGAAAAGCAGUGCCUCUUCGAUUUUUGAACAAGCAAUCCUGUCAGGGAUCUUACUCUCGAGAUUCAGAUAACGGUGCCUCUUCAAUUUUUGAGAAAGCAAUCUUGUUGGGAGUCUGACUCUUGAGAUUCGGAGAACAGUCGAUUUUUUAGAAAGUAAUCUUAUUGGGAGUCUGGCUCUUGAGAUUCGGAGGGUGGUGCCUCUUCGAUGUUUGAGCACGUAAUCCUAUUGGGAGUCUGGCUCUCGAGAUUUGGAGAAUGGUGCAUCUUCGAUUUUUGAGAAAGCAAUCUUGUUGGAAGUCUGACUCUCGAGAUUCGGAGGGCGGUGCCUCUUCAAUUUUUGAGCAAGCAAUCUUAUUGGGAGUGUUUUCUCGAAUGUGAGUAAAGGUUUGACAUUUUUGCCAGUCUGCCUUGCCACGGAGCAUGAAGGUUGACACACAUUGAGACUUUCUAGUUAUCAAGCAGUGGUGUUGUUCCUUUACCUUUGUGGGUAAUAGUAGGGUAGCUGGACCUUCAAAAUUUAUAUGUCUAAACUUUGUCAGAGAUUUUUGGCAAAGUUAUCUGUGGUACCCGAGGAGAUGAUGUUGCAUGUGGAAAGUGGUCUCUAUUCGGAAUCCGGAGAGUGGUGCCUCUUCGAUUUUUGAACCAACGGCCCUGUUGCCUUUUCUUUUAUAAGGGCACCAAUUUGUGCUAGAAGUACAUUUAGAGAGUUAUUGCUUGUAGGAAUUUUCCCCUUACUUCAGAGAUUUAUUGCACCUCAUUUCUCAUUCAUCAUUUCUGAGAAUGUCUGGCUCAUCCGACCAUUGUUUUGACUUGAACUUUGGUGAAGAGGCAGCCAUGCCUUCUUAAGACAACAUAUGACGCCCAUCUUUCUUAUCCCCUACUGGUCCUCUUACCGUUGGGGACUCUAUGAUGAAGAAUGAUAUGACCGCUGCGGUGGUGGCCAGGAACCUUCUCACUCCCAAAGAUAACAGACUACUUUCCAAACGGUCUGAUGAGUUAGCUAUUAAGGAUUAUCUGGCUCAAAGUGUUCAGUGUGCAGGUUCUGUGUCUAAUAUGGCCCAACGCCUAUUUGCUCGAACCCGCCAAGUUGAAUCAUUGGCAGCUGAAGUGAUAAGUUUCAAACAGGAGAUCAAAGGGCUCAAGCAUGAGAAUAAACAGUUACACAUGCUCGCACAUGACUAUGCUACAAACAUGAAGAGGAAGCUCGACCAGCUGCAGGAAUCUAAUGGUCAAAUUUUACUUAAUCAUCAGAGAUUUGUGGGUUUGUUCCAAAGGCAUUUAUUGCCUUCGUCUUCUGGGGCUGUACCGCGUAAUGAAGCUCCAAACGAUCAACAUUUGGUGCCUCAUCUUUCUGGGGUUCUGCCUAGUACUAAGGCUCCGAAUAACCACCCUCUGGUGCCUCCUAAUUCUGGGGCUCUCCCGACUACUGAGACUUCUCCUGAGCAACCUUUGUGAAGGCUCCCUCUUGUUUGUUUAUUUUGAUUCAUGUAUAUGUACAUAUUUGUAACUUAUCGGAGAUAUCAAUAAACAAGCUUUGCUUCAUUUCAACGUAUUAUGUUAAAUACACCAAGGCCUUCUUCAUUAAGUUCUUUGAAUUUUUCCUUUUGUUGAAUCUUGUAUGUUGAAGCUUUAUGAGUGAAGCCUGUAUGUUGAGGUAGUGCUCCCUUAAUUUCCCGAGUGAGGAAAACUGCUUGGUUGGAGACUUGAAAAAAUCCAAGUCACUGAGUGGUCAUGAGACUUCUGAGUAUCAAGGUACAGUAGCAUAUGGUAGGAGUCCCCCAAGUCUCCGGUCAAGAGAGUUGACGAAUAAGGUGUCUUGCUAGUAGCCAAGUUUCCAAAGUAACAAAAUUUCACCAUUUUCCUUUCUAAGUGGCAACCCAAAACUCCGAAUAUAUAUUUAUUUUUUUUUUUCAAAUAAGAGGAGCCUAGGCAAUUUAUUUAUUUAUUUAUUUUUUCAAAUUUUCAAAUUUUUGAAUUUUUGAAUUUCCGAAUAUAUAUAUAUAUAUAUAUAUAUAUAUAUAUAUAUAAAGCUUUGUAGGUGAAGUUUUGAGGUUGAAACUUUGUUGGGUACCAUGAAUUGAUUUUGCUUCACACUAUCUUGUCAAGAUAAUGUGAAGCUUUUGAGAAUUUGUAGUUGUCCUCCAUUGAUGAAGCAAUUUGUAGUUGUCCUCCAUUGAUGAAGCUUUUGUUGGUGAAGCUUUUGUGGUGGGGGAAGCUUUUGUGGGAGAAGCUUUUGUGGUGUGAGACUUUUGUGAGUGAAGCUUUUGUUGGUGAAGCUUUUAUGGGUGAAUCUUUUGUAGGUGAAGCUUUUGUGGUGGGUGAAGCUUUUGUGGGUGAAGCUUUUGUGGUGGGUGAAGCUUUUGUGGGUGAAGCUUUUGUUGGUGAAGCUUUUAUGGGUGAAGCUUUUGUAGGUGAAGCUAUUGUGGGUGAAGCUUUUGUAGGUGAAGUUUUUGUGGUGGGCGAAGCUUUUGUGGUGGGUGAAGCUUUUAUGGGUGAAGCUUUUGUAGGUGAAUGAUGAUGCACAAAAUCAGUGAGGACUUUGGUACAACAGAAAGUGUUAAGUUUGUGACAUUCGCUAGAUUGCUCCGGUUACUAGUGUGGAUAAGUAUGUAAAUGGAUAUGGACAGGGAAGCAAACACAAGAUAUACGUGGUUCACCCAGAUUGGCUACGUCCACGGAGUAGAGGAGUUCUCAUUAAUUGUGAAGGGUUUACACAAGUACAUAGGUUCAGGCUCUCAUUUUGUGAGUACUAGUGAAUGGUUUAGUACAAAUGACAUUAGGAAAUAUUGUGAGAGAAUGAUCUCUAUUUAUAGAAGAGAGUUUCUAGUUUCAUUCUGACAUUGACAAGUGUCGUGUUGUGAUUAGCUUCAGAUGUUGACACGUGUCGCGCUAUGAUUGGCUUCUGAUGUCGACACGCGUCGAGCUGUGAUUGGCCUCCUGGUUGGAGGGAAACUCUUCUGAGUCCUUGACUGUAUAACGUUGACCGGUGCUCAGUAGUUUCGGGGAUUGGUCAAGUAUGGUACAAACAUACUUUAAUCUUCUCCCGGGUCCCCAAUUACAACAAAAAUCAGAAUUGUAUAAAUAUUAAGAACACAAUGAAACUGAAAAAAUUAUAUGGUUCUGGAAGGUAUACAAAAAGUUUCCCCUUCUUUCGUCUUAAAUUUGUUUUGCAGCUUUAUUUCGGCUCAAGUUUCAUUUUCUUUCGUCUAGGAAAUUUUUAUAGCCUGAAAUUUCAAUGGAACUGAAAUAGGGAGAGGAGGACAACCCAAAUUUCUGAAUGAUCCCACUGCUUCUGGUGUACGAAGAUAUGAAGAUUUGCCAAUUGAUGAACACAGAGGAGAAACAGAUUUACCUUCUUUCGAUUUAACCACCUUGGUAGCAGCCACAGAAAACUUCUCUUAUGCUAACAUGCUUGGCCAUGGCGGCUUCGGCAUGGUAUAUAAGGUACUUCCCCUAGAACAUUUUGAGAUCUGUGCAUUAUGUGGCUUCGGCAUCUCUGUUGUCAUUAAGAUUUUCGAGUCUGCACCAUGAUUUCAGGGAUGUCUAGCUGAUGGACAAGAAAUAGCUGUUAAAAGAUUAUCGAGAAAUUCAGGACAAGGCAUAGACGAAUUCAAGAACGAAGUAAUGCUUAUUGCAAAGCUUCAGCAUAGAAAUCUUGUGAGGCUUUUGGGUUGCUGCAUACAUAAAGAAGAGAUGAUGCUAAUCUAUGAAUACAUGCCAAAUCGUAGCUUCGACUUAUGCAUUUUUGGUAUGCCAUCUUUACACACUGCUAUUAAAUACUUUAAGUUUUCUGACAUAAACCCUGAAAUUAAGAAAUCAUAAACUUGUAGAUAAUAGAAGCUUUUAUGUGUGGUGUUCAGAUAAAAACGGAAAUUCGUCGUUAGAUUGGAGAAAAAGGUUUCAAAUUAUCAUUGGGAUUGCUCGAGGCGUCCUAUAUCUUCAUCAAGAUUCGAGACUAAAAAUAAUCCACAGGGAUUUGAAAGCGGGCAAUGUUUUACUCGAUGGUUCAAUGAACCCAAAAAUAUCAAAUUUUGGCAUAGCAAGAAUGUUCGGGGAUGACCAAAUUGAAGCAAACACGAACAAAGUUGUUGGCACCUAGUAAUUGUCUCAUCUCCCUUGAAAAAAAAAAUUCAAGUAGAACCAAUAUUUUUUUUUACUCAUAUUGUGUAAUUGCAGCGGUUACAUGUCACCGGAGUAUGCUAUGGAUGGGCUAUAUUCCACAAAAUCCGAUGUGUUUAGCUUCAGAGUCUUGACACUAGAGAUCAUUAGUGGAAGGAAGAAUACCUUCCAAUUUGAAAACUCAUCUCUAAAUCUAGUUGGACUAGUAAGUAAACAGAUAAUUUUUCAACCGAUGAAUCUAACUUUCGAGUAGUCCAAUGAUCUAAACUUUGUGCUCAAAAUUGUUUCAGAUAUGGGGCUUGUGGACAAAAGGAAAAGUCUUGGACAUAAUUGAUUCAUCAUUGAACCAGUCGUAUUCGACUCCUGAAGUUAUGAGAUGCAUUCAGAUUGGGCUCUUGUGCGUUCAAGAAUACCCAACAGACCGGCCAACCAUGCUAGAUGUUGUGUUCAUGUUGGGGAAUGAAACUACUCUUCCACGUCCGAAAAAGGCAGCAUUUAGCUUGAAAAACAGUGGUCCGGAUUGUUCAACGUCUAAAGAAGCUCCUUCUGUAAAUGAUGUAACAGUAGCAGUUAUUGAAGCUCGUUGAGUUUGCACUUUGCCAGUUCUUGUAGAGAUUUUGUGUUACUUCUCAAGUAUUUGUACUCAAAUCGAGAUUCCUUGUGUAGAGAAGGCAAUGCCUUUGAAAUUGUCGAUUCAUCUCUGGACGGAUCGUACCCUAUCAACGAAGUUGUGAGAUGUAUCUAAAUUGCCCUCUUAUGUGUGCAAGAGUAUUUUGGAUAUUAUACUUUAAUCCAACGGCUAAUAGGUCACUAUAGUUAUGGAAUGUAAGUAGGAUUAGAGUUUAACUUGGACUCCAAGUAAAGAUAAUAUUCCGGUUAUUCUUGAAGAAUAAGAGUUCUUGAUACUAUCCUAUUUGGAUUGAGGUUUGGUAGAUUAUUUGUUUGUACAAUAAGGCAUCCUAAUGACAUCAGAACAGAAUCCUAAUGACAUCAUUAUGGGAUUAUGCAUUCAGUUUUUUUUUUUUUUUUUUUGAAUAAACAAUAUUAUUUACACUAAGAGGUUGGGAGUAGGGUAAGCCUCAAAAUGGGGUUCAAAUUCACCUUUGACAAUAAUCAAACCUUAAACCUCUCAAUUACCAGUGAAGAUCGGAAUAUUACUAAACCGUAGUAAGUGACGAGAGAAUGCAUUAGGGUUAAGUUAGUAUAAAUGCUAAACAUAGGUCCCUGCACAUACCUCUGAAACACAACUCAAAAGAAUUCCCCAUAGGUUUGAGGUAUACUGACACGCCCCAACCCAAAUAUCCUAAUGAUACCUGCAUGGCACGUGCUGACCGACACUCGGAAGUGACGAAAGCCAUAAUUCCAUACAAGCACAAGAAAAUAUCAGCACCUGAAGAUCAAAAAUAAUAAACAAUAACAAGAUCCUGAAUUAAACAUAAGGGUAUCGGAAAGUUCAAUGAUCAUAGAUUCGAAACAAAAGAAAUACAAAUAUGUCCAGAGCAUACUACUACACGGAACUACAAGUGCAAAUAAGAAUUCAGAUUACAAUUCAGCAAGAAAAUCAUACCCAAAUGGAAGAGCUCAAAGUCACUGGUAGGGAAAUACCUCGACACUCGGGUCGUACUCCUCGUCACAAGGUCCUAAGUGGGCACAAAACAGAAAAGGUGAGUGGACCAUAGUUAUAUUUAUACUAAUACUAUUCAAACCCAAAUUCUUUCUUAACAUAAUAACCCCCUGCUUUGAAAACAGAUAUAAUACUACGUAUAGGUUUUUCUAAAACUCUAGCAUGCUAGAAAAGUUUGUAACCAUAAAAUCAUCUCUAAAACAUGCAUCUCGAAAUGCCCGAAGGCAAAACCAUAAAUCCCAUCAAAGUUGUAUUCUCUAGGGGUAUCAUAGUCGCCCGAAGGCAGUACCUGUCCAUCGUCCGAAAGCGAAGCUGUACGACACUGGGUUACGUCAGUCAAGAAACAUGGUAGGCCCCAUCACCCGAAGGUGAAGCUAUACUACUCCGGGUUACGCUGGAGAAUAAACUCUAUAACAUCUCACAUUGACACUAGUUGUGACUAGUGAAGCUGUCCGACACUGCUUUUGGCAAUGAAACUAGGGGUAUAACAUAUAUCCCACUCCUCCUCAUCACAGUGUCCUAUGACCAUAGACAUCUAAUACCCGUGUUGUGUGGAUGUGUUGUAUGAUAACUCACUAGAUAUAUAUACCCAAAAUAUAACUCAAAUCUCAAAGCUCAAGUCAACAACUCAAAUCAUUCUCAUAAACCACAAAUCCAUAAUAUAUCAUAAAUCCGCAAUAUCUCAUAAGGCAUAAAAGAAAUAGUCGUAAACCUUUUCUAAGUGUGAAAUCAAUAGUUAUAACAUUUCAUAAAAUGUAAUUUAAAUAAAUCAUAAUAUAGAAAUUCGUAAAGCAAAGUAUAAUAUAAAACGUAUUCAAAUCAGGUAAUAUGAAUUUGCAUGCUAGAUGGUUAAUUAUAAAAUAUACAUUUGAUAAGGGGUCCACUCACAAGUACUCCGCUCUCGGGGAGCUGCUCGAAUUAGGGAGAACUGGAUCAUCUUCCAUCGGUGCACCUAUACACAAAAUAGAGACUAUUUAAUAAAACGCUAAAGCGAUUGAAUUUGUGAAAACGGAGUGUAGAUUUGGAAUCAGAAUGUCGAAAUUAGUCUAGAAGGGUCCCGAUCGAAAAACUCGAAAAAGUCGACGGUCAACGUUGACCAUAAAGUCAACGGUCAAUGGGUCACAGUCAACGGGUCAAAUGGGUUGGACAUGUUUGGUUGGGUUGGGCCGAGGGUCUUUGGGCCGGGUUAAGUAAAAGGACUUGGGCCUAUUUUAAUUUUAAGUUUUGGGCUUAUGCUAUGAAAUAAAAGGGCGGGCUUAGCCCGUUGUGGGCUAAAUCAUUUGGGCUCUGGGCUGAGUUGGCAUGCGGGUUGGGACGACACGAGUUACUCGUGGGUCACCGGACCCAUCGAAAGAGAACACCGGCUUUUUGGCCGGAAAUUCUCCCAACUUCGAUCUGGGGUUAAACUUGCUGAAAAAUCACAAUUCAAACAUUAAACAAUGAUGCUGGAACCUGUCGGGUCAGAAUUGGCUUGACCGUGUCAGAAUUGGCCGGGAUUCGUCACGAAACCCGUCGGGUUUCCUCGCCGGAUUCUGGAAAAAGGAAACAGAGUGCAUGCAUAAUAAAUCUCAAUGAUCUUCCACCAAAAUUCACAUGCAACAAGGUAUCUAGUGACCUAGGGUCGUGUCCAAUUGAUUUCGAUUGUCAACACCCUCAAAAUCGCCGGAAAAAACCACGGGUUCACCGUCGACAUCUGAGACCAAAAGAGUAGGUGCAUGCAGAGAGUUAAACCCCAGAUUUUUCCACAUAAUACUCGUCUAGAUGGAUUAGAAACCAACACAACCAAGAAGGAAAAAUAGUUCAUACCUGCGAUGACAAUUCAAGAGAGUUCAAGCUCUCAGUGUCAAUGGCAGAGUACGUAAAAGUGCACAGAUGCCACAUGCAACCUUACAGGUGAGUUCCCUAGGUCCUAAAGAUUCGAAGUUCAAGUUUCUAGAAGUUGGUUUGGUCCUUCUCGGAUAUAGAGAGUGAAUGCAGAAAAGAAUUAGGAAGAAGAGAGAGUGUUCAGAUAGUGGGGGAUCACGGGAGAGGGAAGGAAUAAUGGGUUGGGUUUUGGGCUUGUCACAGCCCAAAGAACUGGACCAAUUUGAUAAAACCCAACACAUGGGCAAAUUCGUAAUUUUACACUUAAAUUUUUACGGUGGGUUGUUACUAGGGAUGGGCAAAAUACCUAUGGGUUUGGGUAACCACGGUUAUCCGUCCAUUUAAAGCUCACGGUUAUGGUUAUGGGUAACUGUUUGGAUGAAUAAACGGUUAUGGGCAUAACUGUUUAUCCGUGAAAUUUAAAUGGGCGAUUAUGGGUAUUACCCACGGUUAUAACGGGUAUCCAUCAGUUAUGGUUAUUACCCGCGGUUAUAACGGAUAUCCAUUUACCCAUUUAAUUUAAUAUAUGUAAAAUUAAAAAAAAAAGUAAAAACCCUAAAUUUUCAAUCUUUUCAUGAAACUCAGAGUCUUAAACGCCCCGUCCCCGCUCAUCUCUCCCUCCUUGCUGCCCUCUCUCUCAUCUCCGAACCGAUCCCAAAAGUUUCGGCUUGCGAUUCGGCCACAUCUUUAAAAGUGUUCGGUAAUCCCGAACCAACCGAAUAUUUUAUAUAUAUAUAUAUAUAUAUAUAUAACAUAGGCAUAUAUAAAAUUAGAAGGCAUACAUGAUACUGAAGCAGAAAACUAUAUAUUAUAUAUAUGUAACAUAGGCAUAUAUAAAAUUAGAAGACAUACAUGAUACUGAAGCAGUAAACAAAAUGUUAAAAGGGAUUUCGGGUUUAAUACAGCUCUUCCAAGCAACUCUGCCCUCUCUCUCGCUUAUGUCGCCCUCUUCUGAUUCCUCACAUUGUACGAUUCAUACCUAUCAAAACUAUCUUUCAAAGACUGAGACUAUAACGGUGUUUAAUUGUCAGAAAAUAAAAAUUAUGACAAAUUUUUCUUUUAUAAUUUUCAAGUUGUUAAAAAAAAAACAUGUAGAGGGUGAAAAAAGGGUAAAUGGGUGAAAAAGGAUAAACGGGUUCAAAAAUAGGUAAACAGGUAAACGGUUAUGGUUAAAUAGGUAAACGGUUAUGGGUAUGGUUAAUUGUUUAUAAACGGUUAUGAGUAUGAGUAUAAUCGUUUAUGUAAUUACCCAACAGGUAAACGAUUAUGGGGGUAUGAAUAUAAACGGUUAUGGGUAAAUAACCGCGGUUACCCGCCCGCCAUAACCGUUGCCCAUCCUUAGUUGUUACCUAUACAAUGGUGGUGAGUGUGCAAAAGGCCUUGCUUGUGUUCUUAGUGUGUUCGUGUGCUUGCUGCAGUUCGUGGCUUGCUCUGCUGUCGAAAAUGGUUUCUCCAGGCUAGUAUUUUCAUGCUGUUUUUAUUCACAUGCACAUAUUAGGAUUUACAGAGUAUGCAACUGAGCGAGCGGCCAACAAUGUCGGCUGUCAUUUUCAUGCUAUGUAAUGAAGCAGUAGCUUCUUCAAUAAAACAACCAGCAUUUUUAUUAGAGUUGUAACAGUGGGGACCCAUCACCACAGUAUUGAAGGAGAUAAUUCUGUAAAUGAUGUGACUUGUAGUAGCGUAGAACCUCGCUAAACUUAAAACUCCUGAGAUAUUCCUAAACGUUGUAUGUUAAACUACUAUUGGUAGCAGCUUGUAAAAGGUUAUUAACCACAAAAAUUUUGCUUCUAAUAAGUAGUUCCAAUUUUCUUUCUAGUGCAUUGACAUGCGGGACGUCAGAAUUAUUGGUCUCGAUUGUGACGUAAUUGAAGAGAAAUUGUACUAGUCUACUUGGCUAGUUCUUUAAAUUAUGUGACAUGUACUAUUGUGGAGGCUUAGCUAACAUAAAAUUUGGCACAAAAUUGAGCUUAAUGAUGUUCUAAAAUUCAUACAGCGCCGACCUCAUUUAAUGAGAUAAGACUUUAUUGUUGUUGUUUGUACUAUGGAUGAUGCUUGAUUUCUAACAGCCUUGGAUUUGAAAUGUAAAUCCGUCCUCUACAUAUGACACAUUCACAUUUAUUAGAGUUUAAGAAUGAGAGAUUUGUGUUAAUCAAACUUCAUGUACAGGAAAGAAGAUGUUGAUCAGUGAUGCUUUAAUGCCAAAUAAAUAAUCCUAGGACUUUUCAAAUUGGUUUACCAUUAUUUAUUUUAUUACGGAUCGCUUUUACCAUAGUAUCCAUUACUAAAUUACUAAUCACAUCUUAGCAUUCAGGCCAGCCCUGAGGGUAGCCGAGGUAGGCCGCCUAGUGCCCCCAAGUUCGGGGGGCCCCCAAAUUUUUUUAUACAUCCUGCAUAUAAAAUAUAAAUAAAGAAAACGUAAGAAACACCACAAUUAUUUUGUUGGUGCAGUGGAAACGGUUCCACUCUGUUUUCAUUGAGGUGGGCAGUUCGAAACACCUUGUAGGUAUUAGUUUUUGCGUUUUUCAAAUCUAUGAAAUUAAAGAUUAAAAUUAAAGAUAAAUUGCUCUUUAAAAAUUGUAAAAUUACAAGAAUCAAAAGGAGUUAAAAUAAUUCAACAAAUAUUAAUUUUGAAUGAAUUUAAAAUUUUCAACUUUAGAAAAAAAAAAAAAAAAAACCUCAUGGUAGUGAGUGGUUUAUGUUUAAAUUCUUAUUUAUUUUCAAAAAUAUUUUAAAUAAAAAUUGUAUAAAUAGAAAAAACUUGAGUUUCUUAAAUAAAAAACAUACAAAGGCCAAUUGUAAGAAGCUAGUGAAAUUAAUGGCCUCAAUUUGUCCAAAUGCAUUUUUUUUUCUUUUGCUUUUGAAAAUAACCUAAAAAAAAUAACAAAAACCAGAAUAAUCAUAACUUUGUAAUCCUUUUUCUUUCAACUUUCCAGUCUUUCUAUUUCUGUUGAAUGUUUAAGCAACUAUCACUUGGUCCUGAAGAUUGUAAUUUGAGGUAACCAUAACUUUGAAUUUAAAUUUUCUUUUUCAAUAAUUUAUUGUUAAACUAGGUUAUUCUAAAAUUUGAUUUGCUAGUGUGUGUUGAUUUUAGAAAGAACACAAGAGAACCACUAGGCGUUGUUGAAUUAUUAUAUUCGUCAAUCAAGUUUUAUUGUUUUUUACUCUCUUGAUCAUCAAGUUUUAUUGCUCUUCACUCUCAAUCUUAGUGCAUUUGCGUCUAAAGACAUGUGACAUGGAAUAUUAAGUAAUGUUAGUAUAUAUUUUUUUUUUCUUUUGAUAUUAAUUUAUAAUGAUAUUGGAUAAGCUCAUAUUUAUAUAUAUUUUACAUCAAAUUCACUUGUCUUUUCUUAGUUAGUUCCUUAUAUUUUUGAGCUAUUUACAUUGUUUUUGUGUUUUGUGGGAUUUGUCAAGCCAAGAAAAGAAAAAUAGCACAAAUAGGAUUUUUAGUAACAAAUUCGUCAAAACUGCCUGUGCAGAUCAGCUGACUUUGGAAGCAAGUUGCGAACAGCUCAGAAUGAAUUAGAGAAUGAGCCUUAUAUGCUUGGAAAUCUACGGAUGUCUAUUUUCUGGAGCAUUUCGCAGAUUGUUAAUAUCAUUUUUGUAGAAGAAGUUAUGGCCAUUUUAACACUAAAAGGUUCACAAGAGACUGAGCAGUUUGUAACUACAAUGAAAGCAAUAAACCCAAUAAGUCUAACAUCCAAAACUGAUGCAGCCAAGAACAAGUCAGCUGAUACCUAUUCAAAUAUCAGGGGAAAUGGAAAUAAAGAUGAGAAUUAAGUGGGAGUAAUGGGCAUAAAGGCUACCCAAAGAGUUACAAUUGUUUUACCAUUUCCUCUCACUUAUGGUCAUCACUAAAUGAUUGUUAGUGGGGUGAGUGAUGGAAAACAAAACUGGGAUAUCAAGCAAGAACAAAAAGGUGCAGGUUGCAGCUGCAAAGUGGGGGGGGGGGAAUAGGAGAAGAAAAAAGAAAAGAAAAGAAAGAGGACAAGGCAGCAGUGUUGGGGAAGGAAAGGAAGGAGGAAAUCUUGACAUUCUCUUCUCUCGGUUUUAUCUUCUCAAACUCAUGUCUUUCUUUUGGUUUUAUUUGAUAAUAAUGUGUAACUAAAUUCUUAGUAGUUAGGGGCUGUUUUGAAGCCCCAAAUAUGAUUACAAGUUUGUUAUGACAUUUUGUUUGAAUUACUUUUAUGAAUGGAUGAAAAUUGAUUCACUACUUGUCUCAUUGAUGAAUUAUUUAUGUGUUUUCUACGGAUGCAUACUUAGUAAGCAUAUCUAGGAUUCUAAAGCUAUGAAUAUGUAUGUGCCUGCCCUUGUCGAAUGAGAACCUACAUAUGUUCUAGAGUAGUACUUGUCAAUUGCGAUUAACAUGUGAACUAAUUUCUAGGAUAAGUAAGACAACGUCAGUACUUACGAUGCCAUUCUAGAUUGCAUGCUAGGGACUAAGUUAAGUUGAAAACGUCAUUCUCUUAACAUACUACAUAAGAAAGAGUAAUUUCGUAGAAUUUAGGUAAGUGUAAGUUGGUCUAAUAAUUAUUUUUCGGUGGCUGGUCAGUAGGGACAGCAACUAGUUUACCCUUAUUUUCAUAUGCUACAAUUGACAAAUCUUAGUGUUAAUGAGGAAAAUCAAUAAGACAUUUGUGUGCUAUUUUAUGGUGUGCUUUUAAUCCUAUCAAUAUUCGAUGAAGAAAUAUACUUUUUAUGUAAUUAGCGAAUUCUUCUUACUACAUACCAAUAUACAAAGAGUCGGAGGUCCGAGAACUUUAGGGCCCCACUUUGAAGACUCGCCUAGGGCCCCCAAAUUCUCAGGGCCGGCCCUGCUAGCAUCUUACCACCUUCUAGCACAUUUAUUAGGUGUUAGAUUUUAUCACAAAAAUUAAAAACAAAACCAUUCAUUGUAUUUUGUAAUUUAUUUUACCAAUUUUUCGACAUGAGAUAUUUUUGCAUUCUUCAACAGCGUGCACAUCUCUCAACCUAGUCGCUACGGGUAGCACUUAAACUCCUCAAUGAGAAAGCUAACCAUGAAUCCUACUAAUUUUUUUUGUCAAUAUUGUGUUGCUCAUCUUCCUUGUGAUUCUUCCCUCUUCCAUUUCGGCUGCUCUAGACGCCAUUACACCAAACCAACCCCUAAGAGAGGGCGACGUUCUUCUCUCCACCACUAAAAUCUUUGCACUAGGGUUUUUUAAAGCCAAGCAAUUCUCAUAACCGUUACGUCGGAGUUUGGUAAAACAAAAUUCCAAUCAAAACUGUUGUCUAGGUUGCAAACAGAGAAAACCCCAUAAUUCCCCUAUUGCUGGAACUGGACGCGCCCUAUAUUAGAAAAGUAUUCUCAUUGAAUGAAUAAUUAGAGUACAUUUGGUAUUUAUACAAAGAGCUAUAUUUGACAGCUCAUCAAAACUAACCUAUAACUAUCUAAUAACAAACUAACUUUCCAAUGACUAAUUACAACAGAAAUCACUAACUAUCCAAUGACUAAUUACAACAAAAUCAAGAUAAACAAUUAUCCUUAAUAUGCCCCCUCAAACUGAACUUGGGCAACCGAAGUGAUAGUUUGUCUUAAGCAACAGAAAACGAGACUUGGACAGAGAUUUAGUACAUAUAUCUGCAAUUUGAUCAUGUGAACAUACAAACUGAACAGUUACAGCUUUAGAGAGAACUUUUUCCCUGAUAAAAUGAUAGUCAAUCUCCACAUGUUUAGUCCUUGCAUGAAAUAAAGGAUUUUUUGCUAAGGAAAUCGCAGAAAUGUUAUCACACCACAAUUUUGGUGGAUAUGGAAGAGAUAGACCAACAUCAACAAGCAAUUUACAAAGCCAUGAAAGCUUAGCAGCAGUGUUAGCAAGAGAUCGAUACUCUGCUUCAGUGGAUGAGCGAGCCACUGUUGGUUGCUUUUUAGCACUCCAACUAAUAAGAGAGUUUCCAAGAAAUAUGCAAUAACCUCCAGUUGAUCUUCGGUCCAAGGCUUACCCUGCCCAAUCAUCAUCUGAAAAGGCAUUUGUAAUGAGUGAAGAUGAUGUUUUUGGAAACCAUAGUCCCAAAUCAAGAGUGCCCUUCAAGUAUCUCAAUAUUCUUUUAACUGCCUGCAAGUGAGACUGUCUGGGUUGAUGCAUAAGCUGACAGACCAAGUUAACAGCAAAGGAUAGAUCAGGUCGAGACCAAGUAAGGUAUUGUAACCUUCCUACAAUUGAUUUGUACUCAUCUGGAUGAGAGAGCAAUGGAGAAGAGUGGUCAAGUUUUGAUGUACUGAGAGGUGUUGCACAUGGUUUUGCACCAGCCAUGUUGGUCUUGGUAAGUAGAUCAAGAAUAUACUUGGGUUGUGAGAUAAAAAUACCAGAUAAUGACCUUUUAACCUCAAUUCCAAGAAAGAAAUGAAGAGGACCCAAGUCCUUGAUUGGAAAUAGAGAACUCAGUUGAGCUAUUGUGUCUUUGCAAGCCUGUGAAGAGGGACCCGUGACCAAGAUGUCAUCAAUAUAGACUAGGAUAAAAACCAGAGAAGGUUCAUUCUUGACAAAAAGAGAAUGAUCAUUAUGUUAUCCAUGAAAUCUCAUUGAUUUAAGUGCACCAUGAAGCCUCUCAUACCAGGCGCGAGGAGCCUGCUUUAGUCCAUAAAGACUCUUGUGAAGUUUGCAAACAUAGUGGGGCUUUGUAGGAUCUUGAAAACCAUAUGGUUGCUGCAUAAACACAUUCUCAGAUAGAUUACCAUGUAAAAAGGCAUUACUAACAUCAAACUGAUUGAGAAACUAAUCAUACUGAGAUGCUAGUGUGAGAAGAAGCCUGAUGGUUACUGGUUUAGCCACAUGGUUGAAUGUUUCUGUAUAAUCUAAACCCUCAUGUUAAUGAAAACCCUUGGCUACUAAACGAGCCUUGUAUCUGUCAAUAGUGCCAUCAGCUUUCCUUUUAAUACGGAACACUCAUUUACAACCAACAUGAUUAUGAGAAGGAUGUGGGGGAACAAGAAACCAAGUGCCUAUGUGAACCAGGACAUUAAAUUCCUCUUGCAUAUCUUGUCUCCAGUGAGGAUGUUUUGAAGCUUGGAGAUAAGUAGCAGGAAGAUUAUCUGCAGAAAUUUGGGAAGGAAGAGGGUGUUUGGUAGCUGAAUAGGCUUUUGGUUUAAAAAUGUUGGAUUUUGAUCUUGUUUGCAUAGGAUGAGUGUUUAAAGGUGGGGUUGGUGAUAUGUGUGAGGAAUGAGGAGAGACAGGGUGAGGAGAAUGAGGGAGAGGAGGUGAAAAAGUUGAAGUAGAAAAAGGUGCAUAUUGAUUUAGGUUGAUUACAAGUUGCAUAGGAUAAGAUGCUGCAGGGAAUUUGGUGAAGGUAAGAGUUGAAGGUAUGGGAGAGGAAAAGAUUGAGGCUGAGGAUGAAGAAGAUGAAACUGGAGAAACUUGAUGAAAUGGGAAAGUCAGCUCAUCAAAGAUGACAUGCCUUGAAAUAUAAAUCUUGUUGGAUUGAAGAUCAAGACAUCUAUAGCCAUUGUGAUUGAGACUAAAGCCAAGAAAGACACAGGGCUUGCUUUUGGGUUCAAGUUUGGAAGCUACAUAAGGUUUUAGCCAAGGAAAACACCUGCACCCAAACACUUUACGUGUUGUAUAAUCUGGAGGCUUGCUGAAAAGUUGUUCCCAAGGACAGGAUCUAGACAUAGUAGGCAACCUGUUUAUGAGAUAAAAUGCUGUGGAGAAUGCUUCAACCUAGUAAACAUGAGGAACAUGAGAAGCAGCUAAAAGUGUGCGAGCAACUUAUACUAAAUGUCUAUGCUUGCGCUCCACACAGUCAUUUUGUUUUGGUGUGUGAGGGCAUGAGAGUUGAUGAUGAAUGCCAUUGUCUUUAAGAUAUUGAAUAAACACGGAACUAAGAAAUUCACCAUCAGAGUUAGAUCGUAAAGUGACAACUUUAGUAUUUAACAAAGAUUCGACAAGAACUUUGAAUUCAACAAAGGUUUUAAAGACCUCAGAUUUACAUUUGAUCGGAAAGAACCAGUUAUAUCGACUGAAAUCAUCCACUAUAAAAAGAUAAAACCGAUAACCAGAUACAGAGAGAAAUGGAGCUGGACCCCAAACAUCUGCAUGUAAAAGUUCCAAAGGUCUAGUGGUAACACUAGAAGCUGAUACAAAUGGCAGUUUUGAACUUUUACCCAAUGCACAAUUUGAACAGAAGGUUUUAUUCAUAAUAGUAGUGAGAGGAAUACUAGACUUAGACACAAGUUUAUGUAAAACUUUGAAAGAGAGAUGACCCAAUCUUUGACGCCAAAUCUCUGGAGAAGCUUUGAUAGUAGCUGCAAAAUCUUAUGUGAACCAUCAUUGACAGAUGUAAUGAAUGGAUAAAAUCCAUUUUGCACAGGUCCUUUAAAAAGCGUCCUCUUCGAAAUAUGAUCCUUCACAGCGAAGUGAAAAUGAUAUAGGCGAAUUGAACACCAAUUAUCAAGUGUAAAUUUAUUUGCAGAGAGUAAAUCUUGCUUCAAAUCAGGCACAUGUAACACAUCAUGCAAAUCAAAACGAUGAUGAGGAGUAGAUAUAGAGGUAGAACCAGAAUUAGAUAUAGGCAAACCUUCACCAAUGUAGACUUGUUCAGGGCCGGUGUAUGGUGCUGGAUUUUGAAGAUUCGCCAGAGAACUUGUCAUAUGUGAGCUAGCUUCUGAAUCAAGAAGCCAGGAAUGAGAAGUACUCUGUGAAGGAUUAGCACACAUAGCCAUCUAAGAAUGUCGAUUGCCAAACUGAGGAUUCAUACAAUGAGGGCAAUCAUAGGCUUCAUGAUUAUACUGACGACAUAUUUGACAAGUUGAUAUUCUGCCACUGAAAUUAAAGCCCGAGCGACCUCCACAAUUGUUCCUCUGAGUAUAGCGAGAGUAAUUUGGACGCUGACUGUUACCACAAUAACCGGAGAAAUUGCCCUUAUUUUGAGAAUUCCUAGGGUUAGACAAAAUGCGAGCUUGAGAACAACCUUGAUACUGAUUAAACUAAGAUGAAUUCUGAGCAAGAAAGGCCUGAGAGCCAGUAUUGGAAGUCGGUGUAGGAAGAAUGCCAGAGGAUAAUGCAAGAUUCGAAUUGAGGCCUGAAAAACGCCAGAGGAUGUAGUAGCUUUCUUGCGAGUGGUAAGCUGAAUUUCUUUACUUAGAAGUAAGCCAUGUAACUCAUCAAGUGUUGUAGAGCCAAGACGGAAUUGGAUCGCAUCAACAAAGGAAUCAUACUCCGGCGGCAGGCUAUGAAGAGUUAUAGAAAUCAGAUCAGAGUCUUCAGUCGGAGCUUCGGCGCUGGCAAGAGCAUCAGCAAUGUCUUCAAUUUGUUGAAGAUAAGCAAAGGCGGUGGAAUCACCUUUUGAAAUAUUAUGAAGACGAGAUCGGAGUUCAUGAAUAUGUGAUUGAGAAGCUGCUGCAAGGCACGAUUCAAGCUUAGACCAUAGCUCUCGAGAGGAAUUUACACCCAUAGUAUAGGGAAUUAGGGAUUCAGAAAGUGUAGAGUUGAUCCAUAUGAGAAUAUUUUGAUCAUUCGCAUACCAAGAAACAUAGUCAGGGUUGAAAUUGCGAUUACCGGAAGAAUCAAGAAGAAAUUGAGGCGGUGCCGCCAUAGAUCCAUCAAUGAGACCGGUAAGAUUGUAGCGACGGAAGAUUGGGGCAAAGAGAGCACUCCAGGUCAAGUAAUUUGUAGUGGUGAGCUUGAUUGGCACCAUAGAUCCGAUGUUUUGGAUCAUAAUGGAGGUAGAAGAGAAGAAUUAGGGUUUGAGGAAGAAGUCGGAAUGGGAUGAACAUGUGUAGCCGAUUCCGACGAAGGAUACGCCAUGGCUGAAUUGAUGAGAGAAACUUGAAGAGAUCAAACGCGAUCGAGAAAUCGAUCAGAGAAUCAGAGAAUCAGAAAAGAGAAAAAUUGUAGGGAGAAGCGAGAAGGAUUGGAUCGAAGAGGGAGAAGUCAAAAGACAAAGGCAGGUGAUACCAUAUUAGAAAAGUAUUCUCAUUGAAUGAAUAAUUAUAGUACAUUUGGUAUUUAUACAGAGAGCUAUAUUUGAUAGCUCAUCAAAACUAACCUAUAACUAUCCAAUACCAAACUAACUGUCCAAUGACUAAUUACAACAUAAAUCACUAACUAUCCAAUGACUAAUUACAACAAAAUCAAGAUAAACAACUAUCCUUAAUACCCUAGCCAUUCAUGGAGAUCAUGGUGGCCUUGUCAUAUAUGGGGAGGACCAAAAUACCCCUUUCUGGUCCGCUAAUGUCACCGUCUCUUCUCCAAACAAAUUCGUGGUAGCCAAGCUUUUGGAUACGGGCUGGACAGGCAGUCCGGGCUAAACCGGUUCCCCACAUCUUGGAAGUCCCAAAAUGACCCGGGAACGGGCAACUGUUAGUACCGGAUAGAGUCAAGUGAGAGUCCACAGCAGUUCUUAUGCAAGGGUCAGACUCCAUUAUGGGGGGCAGUGGCGAAGCUACGUGAGGACGAGGAGUGGCAGCCGCCCCUCCCCUCGCCGGAAAUCAAGCACAGGAGCGGCGAUUCCGCCCCUCCGAUCUCGUCGGAAGUGAUGAAAUUCCGUUUGGUUUUCUGGCCUUUUGGGUUUCCCUGUUCUAUCACAGCACAGGCUGAUCACGGGCUCUCUUUUUUUUUCCAAAAAAAAAAACCUAGGCCAAAGAAAUGAGGAAUGAAGAUCUGCAUUUAGCAGCUUCUGGAUAUUGGAAAUGUUCUGGUUUGGUUCUAACGAAGAAGAGGAGAAAGGAAGAAGAGAGAGACUCUCUCUCUCCCAUCCCACCCCACGUGACCUUUACAAUUUGUUUUUUUUUUAAAUAUUGGCCAACCAAUAUGCGCCACCUAACCUGCUUUUGUUGAUUUAUAUUGGAAUUUAUUUUAUUUUUUAAUUAUUGUCCAAUUAAUUUGACCAAUCUUUCAAUAUUUAUUAAACCACUUGUUUGACACUGUUAUUUAUCUUAAAAUUCACUAUAAUUUAUACGAGCUUCAAAAAAUAAUUUGUAAAAUAUUAAAAACUUGUAAUUAUGUUUUUUCUUCUCUUACCAUCAAAUUCAACAAAGUAAUGAAGAAAAUUUGUCAAUAUUUUUAUAUAUUAUAUGUUUUAUAAUCAAUGUUUUUUGGAUAUUACAAACUAUAUAAUAAAUAGACAAUUAUUUAUACGGUGUAUAAUAAAUUUAUUCAAAUUUGCCUAGGUCCUUGCCGAAGUGUAAAGUCAUGUCCAUCGUCUGACUAGAGCUUAACAUCUUUUAAAACUUUGCUAAUUAUACAGUUAAGUAAUAGGACGAUACAACGAGAAACGGUGCUAAAUCAUCCUUCAAAUAAUAUUGUUUUUCAAACCCUCCUUCGACUAUUUUGAGUAGUCCAAAUCCUCUUUUGAAUAUUUCGGUUAGUGCAAAUUCUCCUAUGAAUAUUACGGGUGGUUCAAAUAAUCUUCUUGCAAAUGCAAGACUUACACCUCGAAUGAAUGUUCACAUUUUUCGGGACCCUAAAUUUUUUAAAUUUCGCCCCUCCCCCCAAGAAUUCCUGGCUUCGCCACUGGUGGGGGGCUGGAUCUUGGACCAGUGAAAGAUGGUCCAGGGUGCCUGCAAUGACGAAAAUUUUCAUCUUCAACGCUACUUUUGUGAACAAUCAAGAUGAGGUAUCCGUCAUGUAUGGUAUUGUUGAUGAAUCAAUCUUCUCAAAAUUGGUGAUCGAUGAAUCAGGAAUCCUUGAACGGACCAAAUGGCAAGAUCAAGCGCAUCAAUGGGUCAAGUUUUGGUCCGCCCCGGUUAAGCAAUGUGAUUUUUACUGGAAGUGUGAUUUUUACAUUGCGGAUAAAUUUGAGUGCAAUUGCCUACCUGGAUUCGAACCCAAGUUGCAACAUGAGUGGUAUUUGAGAGAUGGGUCAGGCAGGUGAGUGAGGCAAAAAGGAUCAUCCGUUUGCCAAAACGGGGAAGGGUUUGUGAAGUUGGAACGUGUGAAGGUGCCGAACGCUUCUAUGACACGGGAGAGCAUGAGUAUGAGUCUGAAAGCAUGUGAAGAAGAAUGCCUGAGAAAUUGUUCUUGCAUGGCAUACGCAAUUGCAGAUGAAGGGCAGGGAGGGAGUGGGUGUAUAACAUGGCAUGGGGACUCGAUGGACACAAGGACUUAUUCGGAUACGGGUCUAGAUUUAUAUGUGCAAGUUGAUGCAAUUGUUUUAGGUAUAUUUUCAUUAUCAAUUUAUCUUCUUUCUUUCUUUACAUUAUCAAUAAUUUUCCUCGUACCGUCGACGUUCCAUGAAAAAAAAACUCUUCUUUCUUUUAUUUCAUAAAAUAUUUGAGGAAUUAUUAUUUAGUUUGGGAGCCGUACGUUUGUUAACGUUCUAAAGAAAUCAUUUGGCACGGGUCUCUUGACAAAUAAUAAAAGUGAAAUUGUUUCAUUAAGAGUGUAAGAUGAUUUUUUUGGAGUACUCAUAAAUUUUGGAAAUUAAUAUAAGUUCUCACGCUAAAAAUUGAGUUUCAUACAUCUGUUAAAAUUGUUAUUAAAUCAACCGUUAACUGGUGACGUGAUGCUUACGUGGAUAAUAAUUAAGCGCCACGUGUCAAUGGGCCCACGUGGACAUUAAAAAUAAAAAAAAUUCAAGGCUUCUCCUACCUCACCCCCUCCGUCUCUUCUCCCUUCUCCCACCUCUGCACCGACCCUUCCGCACACCAACCUUCAAUUCCUCUUCAAUUCUACGCUCUCCCUCUCUCUGUGACAAAAAAAGAAAAUUUUAACUCUUUUUUUUUCUGGGCGUCUCCUACCUCACCCCGCGCGUCCCCCCCCCCCUCCCCCCGGCGCGCCUACUCCCGUGAACUCGCCUCCUCCUUCGGGAUCACGUUCUGAUAAAAAAAAUUUAAGGAACCUAGCCCUCGGAAACCCUCCUUCAGCAAAUUCGAAGAACCAAAUCCCCGAGGGACCUGAUUUCGACCAACAACCGAAAGUGGGUGUGCCCAGGAGCGACGACUGAGGGGAUUUGCUAAGGUGGUUGUGCCCAGGAGCAACGACAGUGAAUCGGCGGCAGGAAGGUUGAAUUGAAAGGUGGGAGUUGUCUUAAUAGCGCCAUAUCACCAGUUUGUAAGAAACCUAAUUGGACUAAAUUAAAUUGUAUAAGAAAGAAAUGCAUUUGCCAAUUGUACAAACUGGUGGGAGUUGUAAACGUGCAAAACUGCUUACUAUAAUCAAGGAAUAUGUGGUGAUUCUGAUCAGGAAACAACUUGCAAUCUGAAACUGCAAAUAACUGUAAAGAACCAACGGUCCACGAUAGAUGGAAGUUGGCAAAGGUUAUACUUAUAAAAGGACUCCCUGCUCACAAAGAAAACGUUCUGUAAUUAGGGUUCUAUCACCAUUGGAACAUAAGGUCUUGAGUGAGUAGAAGAAUUCUUGAGUGUGUUAACAGUAACCAUGGCUGCACUAGGUAAGUCUUUCUUAUCUAAUUUCAAAUUGUGACCUAGUAUGCAUGCUAAUAACUAAGGUUUUUCCAACAUUUGGUAUCAAAGCUAUGUUAGCAAGCCCCUAGGUCGGAUGAAUUAAUAAAAAAUCCUAAUGCUUUAAGAAUGUACAAAAUUUGUAUGGUGAUUGCUGCAGUUUAUUUUUAUCGUGGGCACUAUAAUUCUUCCACUAAUAUGUAUUUCUCUUCUCUGUGUUUGUGUUGGUUGGUGGAGUUGGGUUUUUUGGAUCUUUUGAAUUGGAGCUUCAAAUUCCAUCGUGCAUGUGUGGUUCAAGCAUGUUGCCCAAUCUGAAAUUCUCACUCUCUCAAUCGGCUGGAUGGUGUCUUGGUUUUGUUGAUGCUUGGUUGAAGGAACAGAUAAUCAUGCUAUUUUAACCAUUGGACAAAUGUUUAUUAAAUCUUCACCAAAGUGGGAUUUUAUGGAAAUUUUGGUCUGGGACAGGAAGCAUGGAGUGAUUCAAUUUCCAAGGCUUUAACUCUUGUUGACGACGAAACCAAGCAAAGAUCGCAGGGCCUCAAGAAGAUCUUACUGGCCUCGGUCUUGGCCAUGGUGGCGGAGACGACGUUUCCGGUAGACAUUACGAAGACUUCCAUUUUGCUGCGAUAAUGACUGCUCCAAUGAUCAUGGAUUCAAUUGGGGGAAAUGCCGAAAAUGGCAAACUCCUUUCUCGAGGAGGUGCUGGACCAUGUGUUCUCAUUCAUAUAGACGAACCAGGACCGGAACUUGAUUUCGGUAGUGUGUGCAAGUUGUGGUACGAGAUCAAACUAUGGUGCUGGCGGCGUGCAAAACUGCUUCCUAUAAUCAAGGAAUAUGUGGUGAUUGUGAUCAGGAAACAACUUGCAAUCUGAAACUGCAAAUAACUGUAAAGAACCAACACUCCACGACAGAUGGAAGUUGGCAAAGGUUAUACUUAUAAAAGGACUCUGCUCACAAAGAAAACAUUCUGUAAUUAGGGUUCUAUCACCAUUGGAACAUAAGGUCUUGAGUGAGUAGAAGAAUUCUUGAGUGUGUUAACAGUAACCAUGGCUGCACUAGGUAAGUCUUUCUUAUCUAAUUUCACAUCGUGACCUAGUAUGCAUGCUAAUAACUAAGGUUUUUCCUACACAGUUAACUGCUGAUUUAACAGCAAUAUUAACAUAUGUAUGAAACUGUCCCAAACUUAUGACUUCAGGUACCAUUCUGGGAUGAAAAAAACUUCAUGUACCAAAUGUUGAAAAUCAAGAAACUUCAGAGUAGUAAAUUGAGAUUAACCUUUGUUAAAAAUUAUAAUCCUCUUAUCUGUACGGUGAUUUAUACAAAACACUGUACAAAUGGUGAUUUUUACAUAAAACUAUAUUAUAGUGAUUUCUACAUAAAAUUAUAUCAAAAAUAUUUGAGAUGGUAGUCAAAUCUUAUGCAUAAAACUCUCUUAUGAUAGUGCAAAAGUUUUUACUGAUUAGAAAUAGUUCAAAAUUGUUUGAGUGCGGUAUUGGACUUGAAUUUUUUAAACUGACUCUAGCUCAUAUCUCAUAAGAAUCAAGCCAAGCCUACUUGCGAGCUCGAAAAAAUUAAUCAAGCCAAAUUUAAACACAAUAGUAUUCGGUUCGGCUUGACUAGUUUCCAAUCCUACAUUUAUUUAUUUAUUUGUUGAUAUUUGCUCUUUACUUCUUUUCUAUAAAAUUGUUUCUUGCAAAAGAAAAGCGUAUAAUGUUGACCCAGCAAUAGAAUUAUAAUGGUCUAGCAUAACUCUUGUAUAUUAUUAUAUGGUUUUUCAAACUAAAUAAGGGCUUUGUUAUGUGCUUUUUGUAGAAGCAUUUUAAGUGUUUUUUUUAAUAUUUACUUGCAUUUUUACAGAUCAUUGAUACCAAAGCACUCUUAUUAAAAGAACUUUCAAUUAUUUAAACACUUUUAAAUGAACCCUAAAAUACAGAAAAAAAUAAAAACAAAACAGCGUAAUAGGAUGAGCUUUUCGGUUAACAUGUACAUAAUUUAGUCUAUCCACUUUGGCAUUCUAAUGGCGGCACUAACAUAAUUUAGUCUAUCCACUUUGGUAACGUAAAGAAGUGGUAAACCACGAAUUUAAACUUUGGCAGAAGAAAGCAAAAGAGUUGAAUAAAUUAUUACUGGAUGGUUCAAUGAACCCAAAAAUAUCAGAUUUUGGCAUAGUAAGAAUGUUUGGGGAUGACCAAAUUGAAGCAAACACGAACAAAGUUGUUGGCACCUAGUAAUUGUCUCCUCUCCCUAUAAAAAAAAUAAAAUUAAGUAGAACCGAUAUAUAUAUAUAUAUACAUUUUUUUUGAUAUUGUGUGAUUGCAGCGGUUACAUGUCACCAUAGUAUGCUAUGGAUGGGUUAUAUUCCACAAAAUCCGAUGUGUUUAGCUUUGGAUGCUUGGCACUAGAGAUCAUUAGUGGAAGGAAGAACAGCUUCCAAUUCGAAAAGUCAUCUUUGAAUUUGGUUGGAAUAGUAAGUAAACAAAUAAUUUUUCAGACGAUGAAUCUAACUUUCGAGUAGUCCAAUGAUCUAAACAUUGUGCUCAAAAUUGUUUCAAAUAUGGGAUUUGUGGACAGAAGGAAAAGUUUUGGACAUAAUUGAUUCAUCACUGAAGCAGUCAUAUUCGACUCAUGAAGUUAUGAAAUACAUUCAGAUUGGGCUUUUGUGCGUGCAAGAGUACCUAACAGACCGGCCAACCAUGCUAGAUGUUGUGUUCAUGUUGGGGAAUGAAACGAUUCUUCCACAUCCGAAAAAGGCAACGUUUAGCUUGAAAAACAGUGGUCUGGAUUCUUCAAUUUGUAAAGGUUCUUCUUUUGUAAAUGAUGUAACAAUAAUAGUUAUUGAAGCUCGUUGAGUUCGCACUUUGCGGGCUCUUGUAGAGAUUUUGCAUUACUUCUCAAGUUUUUUUACUCAAAUCGAGAUUCCUUGUGGAGAGAAGAGGCAAUGCCUUUGAAAUUGUUGAUUCAUCUCUGGGCAAAUCGUACCCUGUCAACGAAGUUGUGAGAUGCAUCUAAAUUGCCCUGUUAUGGACUGUAAGUAGGAUUAGAGUUUAGUUAUAAGCUAUAACUUGGGUUCCAUGUAAAGAUAAUAUUCUAGUUAUUCUUGGAGAAUAAGAGCUCCUGAUAUUAUCCUAUUUUGAUUUAGAUUUGGUAGAUUAUUUCCUCGUACAAUAACGAGUCCUACUGACAUCAUUAUGGGAGGAUGAAUUAGGUUUUUUUUUUAACAAACGAUAUUAUCUACACUAAGGGGGUGGCAGAGUGGGCUAUGCCUCAUAAUAGGGUUCAAAUUUGCCUUUGGCGAGAAUCGAAUCUAAACCUCUCACUUACCAGUGAAGAAGAAUAUCAUUAGACUGUAGUACUAAGUGGCGGGAGGAUGCAUUAGGAUUGAGUUAGUAUAAAUACUAAACAUAAGUCCCUGCACAUACCACUAAAUAACAACCCAAAAGAAUUCCCCAGAGGUUUGAGUUAUACAAUGGUGGUGAGUGUGUAGGCGGCCUUGCUUGUGUUCUUAGUGUGCUCGUGUGCUUGCUGCAAUUCGUGGCUUGUUGUGCUAUUGAGAAUGGCUUCUCAAGGUUAGUGUUUUCAUGGCGUUUUGAUUCACAUGAACAUAUUAGGUUUAACAGAGUAUGCCACUGAGCUGCCAACAAUGUCGGUGGUUGUUUUCAUGCUAGGUAAUGAAGCAGCAGCUCCAUCACCAAAACAACCAGCAUUUUUAUUGGAGUUAUAUAUAACAAUGGAGACCCAUCACCACAAUACUGAAGGAUAAAAUUUUGUAAACGAUGUGAGAUGUAGUAGCGUAGAACCUCGCUAAAACUCUUAAGAUAUUCCGAAAUGCUGUAUGUUAAGCAACUAUUGGUAGCUUGUAAAAGGUUAUUAACCACAAAAAUUUUGCCUCAAAUAAGUAGGUUCCAAUUUUCUUUCUAGUGCAUUGACAUGCAGGGCAUGUCAAAAUUAUUGGUCUCGAUUACAACGUAAUUGAAGAGAAAUUAUACUAGUCUAGUUAGCUAAUUCUGUAAAUUAUGUGACAUAUAUUAUGGUGGGGCCUUAGCUAACAGAAAACUUGGCGAGAAAUCGAGCACAAUGACAUUAUAGAAUUCAUACAACUGACUUUACUUAAUAAGAUAAGACUUUAUUGUUGUUGUUGUUUGUACUAUGGUGGAUGCUUGAUUGCUAACAGCCUUGGAUUUGAAAUGUAAAUCCGUCCACUACAUAUGACACAUUCACAUUUAUUAGAGUUUAAGAAUGAGAGAUUUGUGUUAGUCAAACUUCAUGUACAGGAGAGAAGAUGUUGAUCUGUGAUGCUUUGCUUGCCAAAUAAAUAAAAGGAAAAUUAAUGAAAAUGACUUGAAAACUUUGAAUUUUAACAAAAAUGACAAAAAGAUGUUGUAAGUGAAUAGUACGAGGAGUGACUUUUUAGAGUAAAUUCGUUAAAGUAAACAGUACCAAAAGUAUUUCGUUAAAACUCCCGUAAAUAAAUUCCAAGACUUUUCAAAUUGGUUGACCUUUAUUUCAUUUUAUAACAGAUCGCUUUUACCAUAAUGUCCAUACUAAUCACACCUAGCAUUUUACUAUCUACUAGCACAUUACGGGGUGUUGAAUUUUAUGACAAAAAUGAAAGUUAAAAUCAUUUAUUAUAUAUUGUAAUUUAUUUAUCAAUUUUUCGACAUAUAUUUUUGCAUUCUUCAACAGCGUGAACAUCUCUCUCCCUGGCCACUACGGGUCGUACUUGGCCCCAUUCGGAGCCAAUUUGUCUUAUCAAUCUACUGAAUACAACUGGUGUGGUCAGAAUUGAUGAAGUGGAACUUUCUAGCUAGGAUCAGUUUGAGGGAAUUGUUAUGUCUCGUCCACAUGUUUGCCUGGAAGUUGCGUGUAAGUUCAUGUUGCAUCAACGACUGGAAAUCGAGGGUGCGUUCACCGUUGCAUCAACGACUGGAAGUCGCCCGUAUGCCCUUAGAGUUACUGAAACUCAAUCCAAGAAAACAAAAUCCAACCUUUCCGGCUUUUUGUUUCUGCAUGUCAAAAGAAGCAGCCAUUUUAGCACUUAAACUCCUCCAUGAGAAAGCUAACAAUGAAUUCUACUGAAUACUUUUUUGUCAGUACUGUAUUGCUCCUCUUCCUUGUGAUUCUUCCCUCUUCCAUUUCGGUUACCCUAGACGCCAUUACACCAAACCAACCCCUAAGAGAGGACGACGUUCUUCUCUCCACCACUAAAUUCUUUGCACUAGGGUUUUUUAAGCCAGGCAAUUCUCGUAACCGUUACAUCGGAGUUUGGUACAACAAAAUUCCAAUCCAAACCAUUGUUUGGAUUGCAAACAGAGAAAACCCCAUAGUUCCUACUGCUGGAACUGGACUUCUAGCCAUUCAUGCAGAUCACGGUGGCCUUGUUUUGUAUGGGGAGGACCAAAAUACCCCUAUCUGGUCCACUAAUCUCACCGUCUUCUCCAAACAAUUCCGUGAUAGCCAAGCUUUUGGAUACGGGAAAUCUUGUUGUAGUUGAAAUUAAUGGCGGUAGUAGUGAAAAGGUGUUGUGGCAAGGUUUUGAUUAUCCCACAAAUACGAUGCUUCCUGUUAUGAAACUUGGGCUGGACAGGCGAUCCGGGUUCAACUGGUUCCUCACAUCUUGGAAAUCCCAGGAUGACCCGGGAAUGGGCAACUGUUCGUACCGGAUAGAGCCAAGUGAGAGUCCACAGGGGUUCUUAUACAUGGGUCAGACUCCAUUGUGGCGGACUGGACCUUGGAUCGGUGAAAGAUGGUCCGGGGUGCCUCAAAUGCAAAAUAAGAUCUUCUUCAACGUUACUUUUAAGAACAAUCAAGAUGAGGUAUCCAUCAUGUAUAGUGUUGUUUAUGAAUCAAUCUUCGUAAAGAUGGUGAUCGAUGAAUCAGGAAACAUUGAACGGUCCGCAUGGCAAGAUAAUAAAUGGGUCCAGUAUUGGUCCGCGCCGGAUGGGCAGUGUGAUUUUUACGGGAAGUGUGGUCCGAAUAGCAUUUGUGACCCAUACCCAAAAUUUGCCGAUAAAUUUGAGUGCAAAUGCCUACCUGGAUUCGAACCCAAGUUGCGACAUGAGUGGUAUUUGAGAGAUUGGUCAGGCGGGUGCGUGAGGCAAAAAGGAUCAUCCGUUUGCCAAAACGGGGAAGGGUUCGUGAAGUUGGAACGUGUGAAGGUGCCGGACACUUCUACGGCACGUGUGAACAUGAGUAGGAGUCGGGAAGCAUGUAAAGAAGAAUGCCUGAGAAAUUGUUCUUGCACGGCAUACGCAAAUGCAGAUGAAAGGCAGGGAGGGAGUGGCUGUAUAACAUGGCAUGGGGACUUGAUGGACACAAGGACUUAUUUGGAUACGGGUCAAGAUUUAUAUGUGCGAGUUCAUGCAAAUGUUUCAGGUAUAUUUCCAUUAUCAAUUUAUCUUCUCUCCUCUCUUUUCCUUAUCAAUAAUUCCCCUCAUAACGCCAAGGUUCCAUAUAAAAAAGAAAAAAAAUCUUCUUUCUUUAUUUCAUUAAAAAAUUUGAGGAAUUAUUAUUUAGUUUGGUAAUUGUACGUUUGUUAUCAUUUAAAAAAAAAAAUCAUUUGGCACUGAUCUCUUGCCAAAUAAUAAAAGUGAAAUUGUUUCAUCAAGAGUGUAAGAUGACUUUUUUAGAGUACUAAUUUUUUUUAUAAAAAAAUUCAGAAAUUUCUAUAAAUUAAUACUAAAAAUUUAGUUCUUAUGGUCAUUGGAGCUUUUUACAAGGUUUUUUUUCCCAAAUUUUUUCAAGGUUUUUAAACAUGGAAAUAAAUGCUUGUAUAUUUGCAGCUCAAAAUGCAAAGAAGUCAAACAGUUCUUUUGGCAAGAAGAGGAAGCUGGAAGUUUCAGUAGCAUGUGGUCUAUUGUUCUUCCUCUUGUUUUCCCUUGCAUGUUGGUUGGUAAAGAGGAAGAGAAAAGGUAAACAAAUUUCCUUUUACUAGGUUGCCCUCUAAUCAUUCACAAUUAUGAAUUAUAUAAGAACACAACAUUAUCUGUUUAUGUACUUUUAUCACAGGUCAGAGAAGUCAGGAUAAAUUUUUCAAUGUGACCGUAGCAUCAACCGCCUGGGAAGAUUCUUCUGCUAGAACAAAUAUUGAUGAAAGUGGAAUAAACUCUGAAUUACCAUUCUUUGAACUAAGUACCAUAGUUAAGGCCACAAAUAAUUUCGCUUCCAACAACAAGCUUGGAACAGGUGGUUUUGGCUCCGUUUAUAAGGUACGUUGUUGCCCUCAGAUAAUGUCUCAAAUCAUAAAUCAAACUUUGAAUAGACAUUUCUUAGAUUUAUUUUUUAGCCAUCUGCACUCCAAAUCAAUUAUUUUUACCUCUACUCACCCUUGUAGUUUAAACAGAAGAACAUAAUGAAGAAAUCUUGCAGAGAAAGAAAGAGAAUCAAGAAGAGAGAGGGAGCAAGAUUUAGGGAGAGAGAGAGAGAUCUUAGACAGAAAAAGUGAAUCUUUGUUAAUGAUUUCAGAAAAAAUACAAGGUAGUGAUCCAUAAGGAUAUAUAUCCAAACUAUAUUGCUUACAAGCUAAGCUAACAUUUAGCUCACAGGCUAUUGACACUUGCAAACAAUAGGAUUACAAGACCAUUACAGUUUAACAAAAAUCAAGAGACCCGUCCAAUAAAGACUGGAAAGGCUGACUCAAAAAUAUAUUUCAUUAAAAUUCAAACCCAAUCAAUAAUCGAUAAGUGAUGGGAACUAUCUUGUUUCGACUUUUCACAAUUAUCCCACACAGUGAUGUGGAUUUUGAAACUGUAUAAAACACGUAGAAAGUUUUAAAUCUAUAUAUGAUAAGCCAUACUACUUAUAUAUAUAUGUGUGUGUGUGUGUGUGUGUGUGGAAAUCUAUUCACAAACCUAUUGUUAAGCCAUACUACUUAUAUACAAGUGAUGGUUGCAUGGUAUUAAUCUUCUACACAGAAAAAGCAAGUGUUUCCCACCCUAGGAAAUUGUUAAGCACCUAUCAAACUAAUUGAUUGGAAACAGUAUGGUGCUUCCCAAUCUAAAAAGUCAAUGACACUAAAGCAGCAGAUUAGCGAAUAGAUUAGUGAAUAGUUAAUUAUGAUUUGUUUUGGGUCCAAAGAAACCUUGUUAGGUGAUGGUGAAUCAAUAUGAAAGUAAACAAUGCCGAUUUCAAAAUGGAAACUGAAGAGCUAUUCGUUGAAUGAAGUAACAAUUAAAUCUGUUAAAUUACAGCAGGAGAAGUCUAAUAUAUACAGAAAGCCGCAUAAGUAAACAUAUACCAACCAAAAAGUGGGCUAAUCCAACCAAUCUCACCAAUGGACAUUGUCACCCGAGCAAUUGUCGGACUACAUCUUAGACGAAACAAAAAAAUGCUGAGGAAAAUGAUCAUUACCCAAAAUUCCAUUCUGAACAAAUAUUUGGACCAAUAACGAAGAAUUCUAGAAAAACAUGAAAAACUUAAUAAAACCCAAUUUAAACGAAGAACUCCAUCUGAAGCAGAUUUUCACAUGCAAUAGUUGUAGAAGAUGCCUAAGAUGAUAAGGAGUCAUUUGAGACCAUCAACUCAACCCCAUUCGAACGCAAUCACAAAAUCAAAAAGGACAAAAUGGGCAAACAAAAACAAUGAGAAAGCACCUACCUUGAGCUUGAAAGAGAGAGGAAGAAGAACGACGGUGCCCUUCUUCAGCAGAAUUUUGCCGAUAUUGUUUCCGGCCGUUGCCGCCAGCGCUAGGAAGAUCGACUCUCACAUCCCAAGAACCCUAAUUAUAAACUCCCAAUCAAACGCAAAAAGGAUAGAGGAAGCCCAAAUAAAGGGAAAUUCGAGAAAUUCAACAUACCGUAAGACGCUUUCUGACAUCAAGAGAUACGGGAAUCGGAGAGAAAAGAAGAGCAGAGGAAGAUGAAACAUUGUGGGUUUUCCAGUAGAGAAGGAGCGAGAGGAGGGAUGAGAGAUGACAGGAGAGCGCACGCGUAGGAGAGAAAGAGGAAUAGAGGUGAGAGGAGAGCGCGUCUAAACCGAUUCCCAACCGUACCAAACCCUCUGGAGAAAAUUGUGGGCAUUUUGGUCAACAAACAAAUAGUGGCAGAGUUGUAAAUACAACAAAAUAGUGCAAUUGAAAACCUUACUUUAGAUUAAAGUAAUAAUUCAAAAUACUGCAAUCUUUUGUUAUUUCAAUCGCAUUUCUCCUUCACUUGAAGUAGUCAAAGCAUUUUUAUGCAUAUGCAUUGAGUUUUACUCCUUUGUUAAUGUAUAAAUGCAAUUUCAAGGGGAGGAUAUAUAUAUAUAGAGCUACGAUUAUGUUGAUAAUUUUCCUGAAAGGUAAGUGCACUAUAAGUUGAAUUUGGAUUAUAAAUUCAGGGUGUGCUUGAUAAUGGAAAGGACAUAGCAGUGAAAAGACUAGCCAAGAAUUCUGGCCAAGGAAUUGGAGAGUUUAAGAAUGAAGUUGUGCUGCUUUCAAAGCUCCAACACAGGAACCUUGUAAGGAUCAUGGGUUGCUGCGUUCAAGAUGAAGAGAAGAUGCUGAUCUAUGAAUACUUGCCAAACAAAAGUCUUGACUUUUUCAUUUUCGGUAUGUCUUUCGUUCACUUUUGUUAUUCUUUUUAUACAAGCAAUAUUGUGGAGGGGAAAUCAAGCUCAGGACCUCAGGUGUAGGAUUGAAUGCUCUUAACUCAACUUAGUUACAACUGCCUUUCUUUUAACUUGUGUAUCUAAAAUUGUCGGUUAGAAACCUUGAACCAAGCAAGAAUACAAUCUAAUUUACUUUGAUUAUUUUUUUUCCCAUACAAAGCAA